rnacentral:lncRNA from 1 species
UUUUUUUUUUUUUUUUGUCAAAACUGUGGCAAGUUAUUCAUGUAGUAUGAUGGAUGGAUUUGCAUUUUGGCCUUCAACUCUUUGGUGAGCUGCAUCUGCUGUAAGUCGCCCUUUAUUUGUUUAGUAUUUUUUUUCUUAUAUACGCAGCUAGAAGUUGAGGAGCUUCUUAAAUCCCAUUUUUAUGCUCCUAAAAAAUUGGCAAAUCCAGAGAAACUUAUAGAAAUAAAUCCCAUUUUUGUUAUCUAAAAUUGAAGAGUGAAAAGAAGAUUGUCAUUCUCAAAUUUCGCACAGUGCUAUAGCUAUUGCAAUCUUUAUGUAGACUUAUGGGCAAAUUGAUUCCUGGACUCAGUUAUCGUUGAGCUCAUGAUCUCACAAGUGCUUAUUUGGGGAGGUAGGUAAGAAUGCUUCAUUUGCUGAAGUUAAAAUUAAAGAAAAACAGUUUAUAAAAUACAUUAACAAAAUGCAGCAUAUGAACAAGAUGAUGAUGCAAUGCACCAUACUACACGCAGUGGAGAACAUAGAAAACAUCAGAAACUUCUCAGAAAAAUAAAAGAAGAAGAGAAAGGAAAGCCACGGGAUGCUGCUAGUGCUAGGCAAGGAUUGUUUUCUUCUUCUUCCCCCAUAGCCGGCGGAUUAUCCAUUCCCCAUCAUCGGCAUAGAAACCAAUGACAAUUUCAGGAAUGUGUGCUAUUCUUCUGUAAUCUUCACUGUCUUCCUUUUGAUUCGCCACCUUUUCCAUCAGUUGAGAACUCAUCUCAUCCAAAUACAGCUCUUGAAGAUGGCUCAAGUGCUGAAUUCCCGAUGGUAAGUCCUCUAGUGAUGGAAGUCGAUCAAGAACUAGUGUUCGGAGAUGAGGGCAUGCACCCUCCUCCACUGCCAUCCAUCUCAACCCUUCCAUUCCCUUUAACGACAACCAUCUCAGCUUUAGGAACCCUCCAGCCUUGAAACAUAACCCUUCUCCUUGGUAACAUCCACAGAAAUUAAUUGUAUCCAAAUUGGGCAAAUGUUGGAGGAAUUCAAGCGGGUCCUUCUCACCCCUUAACCUACUCCAGUACAAAUUUAUUUUUACCAAGUUUUGAAGAUGAGUCGUCCAUGCUGGCAUCGUUUCUAAACGGCCAUGCAUAAUUAGCACACGAAGAGAUCGAAGAAACGAACAAGAAGAAGAAGAAGAAAGAGAAUGUUGAUAAUGAUUUAGAUCGAUUAUCUCAGAAUCAUCACCUUUUCCAACUGAAUCAACACUUAAUUCCCGAAGGCUGGUGAGGUUGGCAAGGGAGGAGCAGAGCUCCUUUCCAUCUUCUCUUCUCAACUGUGUAAUAUAUAAAUCUCUUAAUUGGGUCAAUUUUCCUAUCUCUUUAACCAUUACAGACCCGCUGCUUGCAUCUAUGGUGUCUAACCUUUGUAAAGCGAGAAGCACUCCCAAUUUUGACGGACCUUUAAACCCAUGAAAUCCAAAAUCUUCAUCUGAGGGAUCAACUUGUUGGUAUACUCUGAGAUGCCGAAGCCUUUGCAGCUUUAGAAUUUCCACGGGUAAUUCCCUAACUCUAGUGUUCCCCAAAUUCAGAUAUUCCAAAUGUUGAAGCUUUCCAAUAGCUCUCGGGACUCUUGCCACUUUUGUACCAUAUAGGCUCAGAUAGGUGAGAUGCAACAAGUUGAAAAUCUCAUUUGGUGUUUCCUCUAUCUCUUCAUCUUCCAAAUCCAAAACCUUUAGCAACUUGCUACUCCUUAAAACUUCAGAUAAGAAAGUUUUGGAUAGUAAUGGGUUGGUGGAACUAAAUGUGAUGAAUGAUCGAAGGUGUUCAAAGGAAUAAAAUUGUCUAUGUUGGUGGUGUGGGAUGCUGCUGCUGUUACUACUACUAUGGAGUACUAGACGGCGUACCUUCUCAGAUGGCCACGUCAUUGGUUGUCCAGUAGUAACUGUCACCAUGUUUUGUUCCCUUGACUUGAUGAGAAUAACUUCCCUCAAUAGGUCAUGGAUUUGACACUUCUCGGGUAAUCCUCCAUAAAACACAUCAGUCACUUGAAUUAGGCUUCUAUUGAUGAGUUCACUGAGAUAACCCCAGGCUACAUCUUCAAUACUCAUUCCUUCUCUCCAUUCUACAAAUCUUUCAGCAAUCCAUGAUAGAACCAGCACACUGCAGUGUAUUAUAUCAUCCUCCGGAUAAAUAGUUAAAUACAACAGACAGGGUUUGAGAUGCGAAGGCAGAUCAUUGUAACUCAGAGAAAUUAUCCUUUUAACUCUGUCCAGCUUACCAGUGCCUUCUAAUUCACCCCCAAGACUGCGUCGAACCAUCUCCCAUUCAUCUAUUCUGCUCACGUCCUUCGAAGCCAAGAGCCCGCCGAUCGCAACAAUCGCCAAAGGCAAACCGUCACAUUUGUCCAAUACAGCUUUUGCAACAUCCAUCAGGUGGGCGGGGCAAUGAUUUCCUUUAAAGAUCUUGUUACAAAAUAGCGUCCACGAAUCUUCAAUUGAUAGUGGCUCCUUUUUGUAGACAUAAUCCUGAGAUUCUGUGCAAGAGGCAGAGGCUACAUCGGCUUUUCGUGUUGUUAGCAUGACGCGAUUGCCAUAGUUACCCUCAGGCAGUGCAAAUUUGAUUUCAUUCCAAAAUUCCACGUUCCACACGUCAUCAAACACAAUUGCAUACCUUGCAGCUUUUUGAAGAAAACCUUUGACAAUUUUUUUCAGCUCAGCAGUAGUCUUGGACUCGAUCGAUUGUGGGACUGGUUCCUUCUCUUCCUCGUAUAAUUGCCGAAUCAAGUCUCUCAGGAGCUUUGGAAAGUCGCAUGUUUGAGAGACGGUUAUCCAGGCACGAACUGGGAAAUUCUGUCUAACAUCUGGAUCUUCAUGGACCUUUUUGACUAGGGUAGUUUUCCCUAGUCCAGCCAUACCCACCACUGAAAUAACUUUGAGCUGGUGAUCGUCCCCCUCGAGGAGCUCAGAAAUCAGAUGUUGUUUGGGCUGGUCAAUGCCAACCAAUUUUGCUUCCUCCACUAGAAGUGCGUCAUCCCUGCUAUAGCGCCAUGAGUCGUUCAUGGUUGAAGAUCCAGUGACACGGUCAUCGAUGCCAAAUUCAACUUGGUAUCUCUGACGUCCUUCUGAAAUAUUUUUGAUCCUGGACUUUAUGCUUUGAAUUUCACUGGCAACCUGAUGACGAGCUCGCAAGCUCUUAAUGGCUUUGAGAAUUUUCUGAAGAGAGCCACGGAAUCCAUGAUGUCGGUAGCCAGCAAAGCGAAGUACAAAUUCAUCGAGAACAUCUUCAAUGUCAUAAGCAGCUUCGCGCACUUGCUUGAUCCAUUCUUGGAGCCUGGGAUCUUCUUCUUCUUUUGCUUCAGCCACUUUGAGGAAAGCUUUCAUAUGCCCCAACUCAUCCUUGAUGAGUUGGACCUCCUGUCGAAGCCCUCCCAAUAGGCUUCCCUCCUCUCGGAGUAAGGUUGCGAGAUGAUUUGAAACAAAAGAGACAACAGUUGCUGCCAUUUUCAGUCUUCCUUUUUAACCUAAGAAUGUCGGGGAAGGCGGCUUCUGGUUUAUAGGAUAGGACAGUCCAGUUGUAAUAUCUUGAAAGGAAGAAGGAAGAGGAAGUUAUAGAUUCAUAAGCUGAUGUUCUUCGGUGCAGUAUUUAUCAAAAAGAAAAACCGCGUUAAACAGAAAAAGAAAGAAUUAACCAAUUAGAAGACACUAAAGCAAGAAACAUGAUGGAAAUUGAACACGGGAAGAUAGGCAGCAACCUGAGUUUGAAAAACGAAGCUGCCUCUUACCUGCUUAGAAAUUAGAAUACAAAGUCGUUGAAGCUAUUAAGAAGAAUCUGCAAAUGGUGGGGUGAUCAUCCUUCGGGACUAAUUGCACGAUUGCACGAUUCACUACUAAAUUAAUCGCGUUUAGUACUUUGGUCAGAUAAAGAUAAAGAAGUGACUACCAAAAUAAAAAUAAUGACACUUGUGAAUCAAAUGGAAGCCAGCUAUGGGUUUUCCAGGAACAUGUGAUGCAGAGGAGUGGAACAGAAAAAUCAACUCAAGACCAAAGUAAGCUAUAGUUACUUUAACCUAAGCUUGAACCUCUCCCCUACCUUGUUUCUUAUAUUAUAACUGAAUAGUGGAUAUUCAAUGCAUAUUCAACUAAAUAACGCACUUUAUUUGUUGAAAGCAAUAGUAAAAACUUACAGUUAAAGUGCAAUUGUUCACUCAUCUUCUUUUUUGGUGAAGAACGGGAGGGUGGACACACAGGUGAGAGCCAAAACCCCAUUUUCUAGAAAUAGGAAAUAAAUGACUUUAUUCAUUCAAUAAGAAGUAGGUCUAGAAUUACAAGAGAACUAUCUAAAUAUAUAGUGUUCAAUGCAUUACUUAUUAUUCGGCACGUUUAAAAGUCUAUACAUACACAUUAUGCUUUUUUUUUAUAUAUAUAAUGUUAAUUACCCUUUUCUACUAUCAAAAUAGAAAUCUAAAGUUUGAAAUAGAAAUAAACAGCUGUAGUGAUUUAUUUUCGUCCUAUGACCAACAUUGCACAAUAGUAUUCUCAAAUACGAUUUUGUAGAGGGAAAAGUGCACCAUAGGUCAACAAACUUUUCCAAAAUCUCUUAUCUCAAAUAUGUUGUAUACCCUUUCUUUUAAUCCUGUGAAUGUGAACUCAAUCCUAAUCAAAUUUUACAAAAAAAAAAAAAAAAAAAAACCACAUAUCAUUUCUUUUUUUUUUCCCCCCUUUUGAUUAUAUUCAGUUUUUCUUUUGGCAAAACCCCAAGUUGGGGGAGGGAACUCAGUUAUAUAAACAUAGUUAUACAUAUUUUAAAAUUCAUAGUAAAAGUUCACACGAAGUAUAUAUUGUUAAAAUUCGUGUGUAAUAUUUCCUAUGAAGCGUACAAAUUCAAUCAAAAAGAUGGGUUAUAAAAACAAACAUUAAAUGUCCAUUUUCAUAUUCUUUCAUGAGUAUACGUGAUUUUUUUUUUUAAUUUGAACCACUGAUUUUGUGCAUAUAAUCUUAAUUUUAUUAGUCUAUGAACAGUAGGUGGUUGGCCUAUCCUUCCACUCUCACGAUGUGCUGAUAAAAAGUUGAAUAUGCUGUGACCGAUGAUGUUUCAACUAUACCUCUCUCAGCACAUGUUUUCUAAUUUUAAAAACUUAAUUGAUAUAUCAAGUAAAGAUUUUCUUUUUUCUUUUUUUUUCCUGACUUUCUGAACAAGGUUUUUUUUUUUCAACACAGAGGUGUCCGGGUCAAUCCUUAUGGAGCCCGACUAAUCCCCUGCAACCUGGGCCCGGUGCCCCAACCCAAUCCGAACGCGAUAAGCGCGCGGAGGAAUCUAGCAGAGCGGAGACUCAAACUCGGGACCUUAAGGGUCACCUGUGAGAGGCGCUACCGCUGGACCAUUCACGCAGGGCCUGAACAAGGUUGGAUGUGAAGAAAGAAGUGGGAAUGAAAAUAUUGGAGAUGGAUAAAAUUAAAUGCUCAGCAUAAGACAAUUGAGGUAACCUUUAACUACUGAGCCAAAUCCCAUCACCACCAUCUUAUCAUGUCUAAUUAGUCUUUUAGUUCCUUGUAAUGUUAAAAAAAAAAAUAUGGAACCAAAUGGGAGUAUGUAAUCUGUCCUUUUGCAGGCAUAAUUAAUUUGUGGGAAAAUCUUGCUACAUAUCUGCAAGGACUAAAUAAAGAUUGACUAUAGGAAGCGAGAAUGUAUCCUUGUAAAGAAGAUUUUUAUGUAGGGAUACGAAAAGAGAAAUUUGAAACAUAUAGUUGGAUUGGUUAUUCCUGAGUUUAAAGAGUCACAGGCUAAAAAAGUAGUAGUAGUACAAUUUUUUUUCCAAUCCUAGUUCAAAGCCAUAAUUAACAAUUGUACAGUCAUAAUUUGGAUUCAAAUGUGAUAAGGUGCAUUAUUCGAGCUAUUGUAAGUGAAACAAAAGAAGAAACAAAGUCAAAAAAUUUUCCUAGUGACUAAUAGUGCCGUUGGUUCCUAGAAAUAACAUAAAAAAAAGAGAUAGAGAGACACUAUCGAUAUUAUAAAGUUCUCUUGAUGUUUGUCAUUUUUAUAUGGUAACUUAUUAUAAACGAAUUGUUAAAGCCAUGUGAUAAAGUUAAGAACGAAAUUACACUAACGUGUUUCAUUCCAAAGCUAAUUGUAUUGUUAGAAAUUACAUUAACAUGAUUCAUUUGAAAUCUAAUUCUAUUUCAUAAUUCAAAAGAAAUUUUGAUGCAAUAAAACUUCUGUUUUGAAUAUGAGACCUUGAUUAUGACAAUACAUGAAUACCCUCAAUGAUAUAUUAGAAAGUGCAUUCAAAUUUAGGGUCUGACGUAGUCCUAAUUAUUUUGUAAGAAGGUUAAUCUUGAAAAGAAAUAACUCGCACGCUCAACCAUCAAUACAAACUCACUCUUUUAGCAAAGAUAUAGAUACGGAUAUUGACGAAUCUUUGUAAUUAACAAGGUACACUAUAUUGACCAAUAAAAGUCAAUGGUGGUAGGUAGAAAAGCUGUCAUCAAUGUGCACCAUGUUGAAGGUAACUAUAGUAUAGAUAUAAAUAUUUGUAAUUAACAAGGUACACCACGUUGGUCAGGGAUGUAAGCGAGUCGAACCACUAUCUCGCAAGUAGUCCGGUCAACGACUUGGUUUGAACUUGAUCAAAUCGAGUUCGAGCCAAGUCUCGAGCUACUCGAAUAUACUUUCGAGUCAGGAAUUUGCGGCUUCGAGCCGGAUAUAUUUAAUUAAUAUAUAUAAUUUAAAUAAUAUAUAUGUAUUAUAAUUACCUAAUGACUGUUAUGGGUAUAAUUUAUACUGAAUUUACAAGUAUACAUUUUCCGAAUCGAGUCAAAAAGUUUUUUUAGACUUGACUUGAUACGGCUUGACCUUUGAUCGAGCCUUAUCGAGUUGAGUCUCGAGUUUAAAAGAAUUUUCUUGAAUCAAGCUUCGAGUUGCGAUUUUUAGGCUCGAUCGAGCUCGAGCCGAGCUCGAAUCUAGUUACAUAUAGGUCGAGUCGAGCUCGAGUUUAGGACAAAGGAGCUAGAAACCAAAAUGAAAUGAAGGAGAUCAGUAAAUUAAUCACAAGAUGCCCUGAACUUACGAGGACGCCAAUCAGUGCAAUAAUACACCAUAUUUUAUAGACGGGAAUCUGCAAGUGGUGGAGUUGGGUAAGACUCUGCCGAUGCAAUUGUGGGGGUUCCAGGCUUCAAAAUAAUGCAAAGAUGCCAAUCAUGAGUUGGAGCCAGCUCAUUCCAGUUGCGAUAGUAAAAUGCUGUACUCUGCCAGUCAUUUGCAAUAUGAUUGUUAGUGUGAACGCACAUGAUUGGAAUGAGCAUUAGUUUAUUUAUUAUGUAGAAAAAGUGAUCUCGUUAAAUCAGCACACCUCUAACCAUUUACCUACGGUUAUAUGAGGGCAAAGUUCAAAUCACAUACAUUAAUACUAACAAUAAUGAUCUACAAUACUAAACAAGAUAUAUCACGGCGUAUGUGUUAUAAUCUUGUGUUUCGCUUUUUUCUAUUAUUACCUGAUUUUUCUUUCUUUCACCAUCCCUGCUUUUUAUCACACCAUCUCUCUAAAUAAUAAGUAAUUUAGAUAUAUCGUGAUUUUCCUGCCAUUUUUUGAGUAGGAUAGAGUAUUGUACACCAAUUUGUUAUUUAUAUGGUACUACAAGUAUUCAAAACUCAAAAGGAGACCUUAAAGGGGCAGAAAAAAAAAUGGAAGACCUCAUGACUCACGAGGUCAGUUCCGGUUUCUGAAUUAUUCUAUCAAAGGUACAGGAGAGCGGCCAAAAUUGGAAAUAUAUUUAAUUAUAAUAAAAUUAUAUAAUAUAUUUUUAUUAGCCUCUUGAGAAAGCAGGAAGGGAUGGGGAGGGGGUGGGACGAAGCUGCCUUACCUCCCACGAUAUAAAAUCAUGGAAGCUAUUAAGAAGACUGUGCACAUGUCUUCGGAACCUUCUUUCAACCGUGGGCCCCUUGGUCGGAUAAAGAUAAAAAGGAGCAUCGUUGGACUGUUGGUUCUUUAAACCAACUAGGGAAUUCACCACCACUUUUAGUGUGGGGUGGGAGUUUAAAUGUUCAAUCUUUACCUCCUAUCAAAAGUGGUCACCUAAUGUGGUUAUGCUUAAGAUUUAUGUGGGUGUACAGUGUGAUGGUAGUUUAGUUCUCAUCGAUUCCCUGUGAUCCUGUUGGGUUACCUCCCCUAGUAUAGAUUAGAUUAGGACUAGAAGUAGAUGUAAAUGUAGAUGAUAACAAGUGACAAAAAAAAAAAAAAAGGCUUUGGGUUCUUUACGAGGGGAAGGACAUUAUUGAUUUCAUUGACGAAGAAAUGAAAAACGAACUCUAUGGAACUAAUUUCUGCUGACCAAUUAGUAUUUGUAAUAUCAAAGAAAUGUGAACUGUAUUGAUUUAAGAGGGCUAUGAACAGCAUGCAAAUUUAGCAACAAAAAAAAAAGGAAUUGCAGAAAAUGGUAAGGAGUAAAUUAAAAAUAAUCAAUUUUCUUUACAAUUAAGGAUUACAAAUUUGUUGGAAUAGCUGUACCACUCAAUCAUGACGUGGCUUAUUUCUAAGCCCUUCACUUUGUCAAUUAAUUUAAUGCCUCAUUUAUAUCAUCUUUGCAGCUAUCUUUUUUAACUGCAUAGGGAAAAUUUAAGUUUCUUUUUUUUUUAACGGGGAUUGUAUUGCAGAUAUUGGUAAGUUUACUGUUGAUUGCAGCGUUAGUUAUAUAAUUAUACCUAUUACGUGUUCUAUGAUAAGGAAGCUGCAAGGUGCCUUGUGGCCUUCAUUUCAUGGUCAUCGCUUUGAAUUUUUGUUGCAGGCAUGUGCUUUGUACAACAAUUGGUGGCCAAUGCUAACAGGUACAAGAAUGUGGGAUAUUUGGCACGAUGUCGAUUACCUAUUCUUGAUAAUUGGCUUCUGCAUAUGACUGUGAUAUCUUGGAAUUUUCCUGCCAUUUUGAUAAAAUAGGAAUCUAGUUUCGUGCAACUUGCUCAAAAGAUGAGUAUCUGCACUGCUCUGCAAACUAUCCAAGAGGCCCUUUGUAGUUCAGAAUUAGUUAAUUUUGUUGCAUCAAUGCCUUCUCAAAAUGGUACAAAAACUUUCGUUAGUGUCUGACGAUUAUACGAUUGCAUUGUCUGCUUGCAGUAAUAAUGUAUGUGGUUCUACCUAUGCCCUUAAUUUUUUUGGCUGGCUCGGAUACUUCAUCUCUCUUCUCCGAAUCUCAAAGUGGGUAAGGUUUUUUUUUUUCCCUUCCGCACUGAUUCUCUGAUGAGAUGCUUUUAUUCAAGUUUAUUUAUAUGGAUUUUUUGGCCUUAUUUGGUUUUCAUGAACAAUGUGGCAACAGCUGGGCAGAUGUGACCAAAUUCUUAACUGGGGCGUCGGCUGUUGGUAGCAUAGCGAUACCAAUCAUCUUAAAGCAUGCUGGAGUAAUUGGCUGGGGAGCAAUGGCAAUGGAGCUCUCAUCCUUUUUCACAUUUGUUCUAGCAAUCGUGUGUUUCAUUGGAACGAGCGAAGAUGAUGGAUAUAGCAUCCUUUGAACGCGACUCUCUUUAAAAAUUUUAACUUUUCCAUUGUGCGGCAAACGUAGAAGUUGCCUUUUUCUUGAUUGCUGAGCAUUGCCUCUCAUUUUGUGCCUUGUAAAUACAGAGUGGUUAUUUUUUUUCAGUGAAUGAAUACCUGAGAUUAAGGUCAUAUACCGCAUCAGAUACCACACUUGCUGUCAGUGUCAAAUGUACAAGGUUGCAGAAUUUCUGAAGGAACAAGCCAUAAUAUCAAAGAUACUCCUGAAGGCGGGUAAUUUGUAACCGUGGAACACAUCAGUGUUCAUUGGGAGCCAAGACAAAGCAUGGAAAACUUUCAAUGUUUCGGUUCCACCAAGAACAUUACAAGCAAAAAGAUCCAUCUACCUUUAUCCUUAUUCUUUUUUCUGUUUCAAGCGAGUUUAGCUGAAUAUUGAGAAUGCAUAUCUUCAUGAACCAUCAAGUAACUACAAUGACACCAAGAAGAUAGCCCCAGCUACCACUACUUAAGUGCAAGUCUAGACACUACAAUUGGAAUAUGUAGUAGAGGAAUGAUGAUAAUUGAUAGCUUAUACUACACUUAUUAGCAUGAUAACAUUUUAAUCAGUUGCAGCAAAUUUGAACUAUGAACUUUGAUAGGUUGUAUUUUAGUGGGUAUUUUGGGCAUUAUUGCACAACUAAUUGAUUAAAUAUUUUCACUAUUUGGGUGGAUUCUACUGAUAUUUUGUUUUGAUGCUAAUUGCAGGAAUGGUUGCUGAAGAGUGCUUAAAUUCAACUUUUAGAAGAGUCAUCGGACGUGGGGCCCGUUUGAGAAGCUGAAGAAACCUAAUUGUAAUAGAUUUUAUUUUAAUAUAUUUCUAAGGAGUCUGGCUGCAAUUUUUGGAAGAAAGUAACAAUUUUUGGCUAUUCGGGGAUAUUAUUUAUCUCGCUCGCGCAGCUUAGGUUAGACGGUUUUUUUUUCCCUCUUUGUUUUGGUUUUUCUUUGGCUCUGGAUUGAGACAAAAACAGCCGCAGCUGUGUAGGGAGAAAGGAACAGCCACUUUUGUUGACUUUGGGGAUUCUAUGAACUAUUGAUGGUUUUUUUGACCAAAUUGAGAAGUGAAAAACAAUUGCAAUCUUCCAAUCUCUCGUAUGUUUCUUGCGUGAGAGAAGAGAGAAAGUAAAAGUGAGCCGCAAUCGUGGACUUUGGUCAUUGCUUUUCAUUCUGGCUUUGACCGAAGGAAAUUGAAGCAAUCGUAAUCCAUUGUCGCCCUUUUCUCUCUUCGGUUGACCGAAGUGAACGAAGGUCAAGUCUUCCGUUUGCUGUGAUUAAGGAAUCGAUGGCUUCUUCCAACCCUGUACACGCGGCCUGUUCAGUAAUGGGGAACUAAACCCCUAAUUCUAGUCAAGGGAACUACUGACGAUUUGGUUCAGCAAUUACUGUGAGAUCGAAUUUAUUUUAACUAUUCCCUCCAUUUAUUAAUAUUUAUAUAUUUCCGGUUUCUACUUGUUAUAGCCUUAUAUAUGAUUGAUUAGUGCGCAAUAAUUAAUUGUUUAUAUAGGCUAUUUUGCUAUAUAGGGGUAAUUGAAUCCGUAAUUGUUCGUUAUCUUUAUCUCAGUAGCAACUGGCACAAUUGGAUUUGUGUCAGGGGAAUAUUUGAUCUGGCUUGAAUGAACCCUCGUAGCGUGUUUGUUAGUCAGGAUUGGGCCUUUCUAAUUACUAAUACAAUCUAGAAAUUGAAUCCUACGGUCGUACCUAGGGUUGUUUUUGGGUUAGAGAAAUAGCUAACGGUCGUACCUUGGCUAUCGAUAAAUUAAGGAAGGGUUGGUUGUUUAGCGCGUGCGAGACAACUAGAACCAAUCUAUUAAUAAAGGUUGGAAUUAUUUUUGCAUCAAUGAUCAGUGCAUGAACCAUUUCUGAAGUAUACCCUUGGCUAGAGUUUCUCUUAGUUAUUUCUUUUAAUUAAUUAUUUUCUGCAUUUAAUUUGUUCAGUUGGCUCUUGAUACCAAAACCCCCCCCCAUUAAUCUUGAUUUGAAAAGGAACAAAUAUCUCUCCAGUCCCUGAGGAGACGACCCUGCUUACCACUGUCUACUAGUUAGGGAGUUCAGUUAAAUAAUUUAUUCAGGUAUAUCGGAUUAAGCAAACUCUUCGGGAACAGGGUGAAUCAAGUAACCCAUUGCACACCUAGAGUCCCUGCUCCAGUACUCGAAUUGAUUACUAGCUGUUUCAGGUGGUAGUUAGGAUUAAUUUAUUAUUAUUGCACAGGUUCGGCACCUGUCAAUUUUUGGCGCCGUUGCCGGGGACUGGCGUCUGAAUUAUUUGUUUCUUUUUUAAUUUAGUUUUUAUUUUGUUUUAUUAUAUUUUUCUUUUUCUUGGUACUUUUGCUAGUUUAUGCCCCGUUCUUCUCGCACAGGUAACUUGGUAUACGAUCCUGAGGUUGAGAAGGCAGCACGUAGGCGAAGGCAAGAGACCAAGAGACAAAAAGAAGGGUUCUCAUUUUCUGAAAACGAGUCAAUAGAAGACGAAUUGAGCAUGGCCAACACCCAGACAUUACGGGAGCUGGCUACCCCAGAACUGACUCAUCAGCCCUUGUGCAUCACGUUCCCAACUCUGGCUGAGAAUACCUCAUUCGAGUUGAAAUCGGGGUUGAUUCAACUCCUACCUUCGUUCCAUGGCCUUUCUGGUGAGGAACCCCACAAACAUAUCAAGGAAUUCGAAGUGGUUUGCUCUAGCAUGAAACCCCCUGCGGUCACCGAAGAGCAAAUACGACUCAGGGCUUUCCCUUUCUCUCUCAAGGAUGCAGCGAAGGAUUGGCUAUACUACCUACCUGCAGGUAGUAUCACCACGUGGGCACAGUUGAAAAAGAAAUUUCUGGAAAAAUUUUUCCCCGCAUCCCGGGUUGCGAGUCUGAGAAAGGAAAUAUGCAGUAUCAAGCAGUGCUCCGGGGAAUCAUUGUACGAUUAUUGGGAAAGGUUCAACAAGUUGUGCAAAGGAUGCCCACAGCAUCAGAUUAGCGAACAACUGUUGAUCCAGUACUUCUAUGAAGGGCUCCAGUCAACUGACAGGGGUAUUAUUGACGCUGCGAGUGGAGGAGCCCUGGCGAACAAGACACCGAGGGAAGCAUGGGACCUUAUUGAAGCCAUGGCAGAAAACUCUCAGCAGUUCGGCUUCCGUGAGAACACUCUUACCCGUAGAGUCAAUGAAGCAGAGACGUCAUCCAUCCAGCAGCAACUGUCAGAGUUGACGUCUGCUGUCAGGCAAUUGGCCAUGAGAGACACACCCCGAGCAAAGGUGUGUGGAAUCUGUACUAGCAUGGACCACUGCACGGAUUCGUGCCCCAUUCUGCAAGAGGAUGGGACGGAACAGGUAAAUAUGGCCGGAGGCGUGCCCGCGCCCCGCAGGCAGUAUGACCCGUAUUCCAACACAUACAACCCCGGUUGGAGAGACCAUCCCAAUCUCAGUUAUGGAAACAGGCAACAAGGUUCAUUCCCAAAUCGUCCACCAGGAUUCCACCAGUCUUGGCAACCAAAAUCUCAACCCUCAUCCUCCAAUUCAGGGAGCUCCUUGGAGGAUCUAGUCAAGAACCUGGCCACGACUACUACUAACCUGGUCACGACUACUACACAGCUUCAAGAGGAGAUCAGAUCAUUGGCCGUGAAAACCGAGCAGCUCCAGCAGGGCACCAAAGCUGACAAGAAGGACCAAGAUGUUCGAAUAAGUCAACUGGCAACUGCCAUCAACCGCUUGGAAUCCCACGUUUAUGGGAAACUGCCAUCGCAGCCCCAGGAAAAUCCCAAGAAUGUAAGCGCCAUGACACUGAGGAGUGGUAAGGAGUUGGAAGGGGCUAAAGUGAAAAAUUCGAAAAGCAAAAGCGAGGAGGAGAUAGAAAGGGAAAUUGAGAAGGAAGGACGCAUUCGUGAGGAUCCUAAGGUAACCUCCGCCUCUCCACUCGCUAUUAGCUCUAACUUACCCCCUUUUCCGUGCAGGUUGGAAAAGACAAAAAAGAUAGAGAAGGAAAAAGAGCUCUUGGAUGUGUUUCGAAAAGUGGAGAUCAACAUUCCCCUGUUGGAUGCAAUCAAGCAGAUACCAAAGUAUGCUAAAUUUUUGAAGGACUUGUGCACCCACAAGAGGAAGUUAAGGGGAGAUGAACGAGUGGCGGUGGGAGAAAACGUGUCAGCUAUACUCCAGAGAAAGCUCCCACCAAAAUGUGGAGACCCAGGUAUGUUCACCAUUCCCUGCAAGAUAGGAGGUACUCCAAUUAGGAAAGCAAUGUUGGAUUUAGGGGCGUCAAUUAAUGUUAUGCCUAAGACAAUUUAUACUUCUCUAAAUCUUGGCCCGUUAAAAGGCACAGGCAUUAUAAUCCAACUUGCAGACCGUACCAAUGCUUACCCAGAGGGGUUAGUUGAAGAUGUUUUGGUACAGGUCAAUGAGUUAGUUUUUCCUGCAGAUUUCUAUGUCCUAGACAUGGGGGAUGAAAGGGCACUAAAUCCAUCUCCUAUUUUAUUGGGUAGACCAUUUUUAAGCACUGCUAGGACGAAAAUAGAUGUAAAUGAGGGUACUUUGUCGAUGGAGUUUGAUGGGGAAAUUGUAAAUUUUAAUAUUUUUGAGGCGAUGAAGUACCCAGAUGAGACUAACUCUGUUUAUGCUUUAAGUGUUGUUGAGCCCCUUGUACAGGAAAUAUUUGAAUUGGAUGGGGUUGAUGCACUGGCAGUGGCAUUGGCCAAACAUCUUGAGUUGGGAGCAACUCUUGAUGUAGAAAUAAAUGAUGAGCUAUACCACGCUGUUGGAGCACUGCAUUCGCUCCCACCAAUUUCCCCAAGGUAUGAGCUUACUUCUGUUUUUGUACCAGAAACUCAAGCAAAAUUGUUGCCUUCUAUUGUGCAGGCACCUGAGUUGGAGCUCAAACCUCUCCCAAAGCAUUUGAAGUAUGCUUUUCUCGGGGACAAUGAGACACUGCCGGUCAUCAUAUCUGCACACCUGUCACCAGGGCAAGAAGACAGACUAAUUCGUCUCCUUCGGGAUCAUAAGGAGGCGAUUGGGUGGAGUGUAGCAGACAUCAAAGGUAUUAGCCCCUCCUUAUGCAUGCAUCGGAUCCGGCUUGAGGAUGAUGCAAAGCCAGUCAGACAAGGGCAACGGAGAUUGAACCCACUAAUGAUGGAAGUGGUCAAGAAGGAGAUACUUAAACUCCUAGAAGUGGGGAUCAUUUUCGCCAUCUCAGAUAGCCCCUGGGUGAGCCCGGUGCAAGUAGUCCCGAAAAAGGCGGGAGUUACAGUUGAAGAGAACCAAGGGGGUGAGAUGGUCCCGGUGAGGAAACCCACAGGAUGGCGCCAAUGCAUUGAUUACCGGCGUCUGAAUGCGGUGACGAAGAAGGACCACUUCCCUCUGCCUUUUAUUGAUCAAAUGAUAGAAAGGUUAGCUGGCCGGGUCUAUUAUUGUUUUCUUGAUGGUUUCUCUGGUUAUUUUCAGAUUGCAAUAGCACCAGAGGAUCAGGAGAAAACUACCUUCACCUGCCCCUUUGGUACAUUCGCCUACCGGAGGAUGCCUUUCGGCCUUUGCAACGCCCCAGCAACUUUCCAGAGGUGUAUGGUAAGUAUAUUCUCGGAAUAUGUAGAAAAGAUUAUUGAGGUGUUUAUGGAUGAUUUUAGUGUGUAUGGAGAUAGUUUUGAUGAAUGCCUGGAUAAUCUAGCUUUAAUUUUGAAGAGGUGCAUUGAGGCGAAUUUAGUUUUAAACUGGGAAAAGUGUCAUUUCAUGGUGGAUCAGGGCAUUGUUUUAGGGCAUGUAGUGUCGGCCAGGGGUAUAGAGGUAGAUAAGGCAAAAGUCGAUAUUAUUUCUGCUUUACCUUAUCCCGCAAGUGUGCGGGAGGUGCGCUCCUUUUUGGGUCAUGCAGGGUUCUACAGGAGAUUCAUCAAAGAUUUCUCCAAAAUUGGAGCGCCCCUGUUCAAACUGUUGCAAAAAGAUGUAGCAUAUGACUUCACCGAAGAGUGCAAGGUGGCAUUUGACAGGCUGCGGGAGUCAUUGACAUCACCGCCUGUUAUCCAACCUCCAGACUGGAGUCUCCCAUUUGAGAUAAUGUGUGACGCGAGUGACUAUGCAGUGGGAGCGGUGCUGGGGCAACGGAUUGGUAGAGCUGCACAUGCAAUCUAUUAUGCGUCGAAGGCGUUAAAUGGAGCUCACCUCAACUACUCUACAACAGAGAAAGAAUUGCUAGCUGUGGUUUUUGCAUUAGAAAAAUUUAGACCUUAUUUGUUAGGUGCAAAAAUAACAGUUUUCUCUGAUCAUGCAGCCUUGAGAUACUUGAUGACGAAGAAGGAUGCUAAACCAAGGCUCAUCAGAUGGAUCUUGCUCCUUCAGGAGUUCAACUUGGAGAUUAAGGAUAAAAGUGGGGCAGAAAAUUUAGUUGCUGAUCACUUGAGCCGCCUACUUGCUCAUAAGGAGGAGCCACCAUUGAGGGAGGCAUUUCCAGAGGAACAACUACUUGCCGUGAACGCGUCUGUACCCUGGUAUGCCGAUUUAGUAAAUUUCUUAGUGACUAAUCAAUUGCCUGGAGGGUGGCCAAAGGCUAAGAGAGACAAGUUGAAGAGUGAUGCCAAAUAUUACAUUUGGGACGACCCGUACCUGUGGAGGCAAUGUUCGGAUCAAGUGCUCAGGAGGUGUGUAAGUGCAGGUGAAUUCCACUCCAUUUUGAAUUUUUGCCAUUCAUUUGCAUGUGGAGGGCAUUUUGGGCCCAAGCGAACAGCUCGCAAAGUGUUAGAGAGUGGCUUUUAUUGGCCUACCCUGUUCAAAGAUGCUUAUUUAUUCUGUAAAUCCUGUGAUAGGUGCCAAAGGAUGGGGAAUAUUUUUCGUAGGGAUCAAAUGCUUCAAACCCCCAUGUUGUUUGUUGAAAUUUUUGAUGUUUGGGGAAUAGAUUUUAUGGGUCCUUUUCCCUCAUCUUUUGGUUUCCUAUACAUUUUACUUGCUGUGGAUUAUGUGUCUAAAUGGGUGGAAGCAAAAGCCACCCGUACUAAUGAUUCUAGAGUGGUUGCAGAUUUCUUAAAAUCUAAUAUUUUUGCCCGUUUUGGAAUGCCAAGAGCUGUGGUUAGUGAUAGAGGGACACAUUUCUGCAACAAGACUAUCACUGCCUUGUUUCGAAAAUACGGUGUACUGCACAAGGUAUCCACACCAUAUCACCCGCAGGCAAACGGUCAGGCCGAAGUGUCAAACAGGGAAAUCAAGUCGAUCUUGGAGAAGAUGGUGCGUCCGGACAGGAAGGAUUGGAGUUUAAAGCUAGAAGACGCACUAUGGGCUUAUAGAACCGCGUAUAAGACGCCAAUUGGGAUGUCUCCUUAUAGACUUGUUUUCGGUAAGGCUUGCCAUCUCCCCGUGGAGUUCGAACACAAGGCGUUUUGGGCAGUGAAGCAGUGUAAUAUGGGAUUAGAUGAAGCAGGGGCCCAAAGGAAAUUGCAGUUACAAGAGUUAGAAGAAAUACGAAAUGAGGCGUAUGAAAAUGCCACGAUCUAUAAGGAGAAGAGUAAAAUCUUUCAUGAUCAGCAGGUUUCUAGGAAAACUUUUGUAGUGGGGCAAAAAGUCCUCUUGUACCACUCAAGGCUUAAACUUUUUCCCGGUAAGUUGCGUUCUCGUUGGAUCGGUCCAUUUGUCGUUUCUAAUGUGUUCCAUUUUGGUGCAGUGGAGAUCCAAAGCUUAAAAACGGAGAAAAAGUUCGUGGUGAAUGGCCAUCGCCUAAAGCCUUAUUAUGAGGGAUUCGCUUUUGAAGAGGGAGGAGUUGUACACCUCCAAGAUCCACUUGAUUUUGCUUGAGGGUCUUGGCUAUGUCUAGCCAAAGACAUUAAAGAAAGGCGCUGUUUGGGAGGCAACCCAAGACUAUUUGUUUUAGUUUUCAUGCAUUUUUUUGAAGUUUUAGUUAAGUGUUAAGGUCAAUUAAUGGUUGGAUGUUUGGUGGCAGGGAAUUAGUGUUUAGGCGUGCCCACGCCAGGUGGUCACGCCUGAAGAAAAGGGGAUGCUCGCUCAGGUUCUGCGAACUCCAUAGUAGUUAGACGUGCCCACGCCAGGUGGUCACGUUCCAGGGGAAGAAAUUUUCGAUCAGGUUCUGCGGACUACAUGGCAGUUAGACGUGCCCACGCCAGGUGGUCACGCCAGAGGGAAGGAAUUUUCGAUCAGGAUCUGCGGACUACAUGGCAGUUAGACGUGCCCACGCCAGGUGGUCACGUUCAAGCAAAAAAAAAAAAAAAAAAAAAAAAAAAAAACUUCCGUAGCCCUACUUCUUCUUUUCUUCCUUUUUCUUUCUUUCUUCUUUCUUCUUCUUUCUUUUCUUUUUCUUUCUUCUUCUUCCUUCUUUUCUUUCUUUUCUUCUUUCCCCUCUUUUGCUUUAGCCGCCGCCGCGCCAUAGUCGGCCGCCGCAGGAGCUCACUACGGUCCGCCGCCACCCACCUCGUGCGCCGUCGCGCCCCAGCGUAGUCCAGCGCAGCCCGGAGAGCCCGCGACAGCCACGUCAGCCUUCUAUUCCGCCGCGCCAUAGCUGCCCACAGCACGCCGCACGCCAAACUCCUCGCUGAUCGCCGCCACCGCUCGACCUCCAACAGCGCACAAGAAACAAGUAGCUGUGCAAGGUGCGCAGCCAGCCGCCCACGCAGCCCAUCGCGCCCGCGGCCCAGCCGCGUCUGGCCACCAGCAGUCGCCGGGCGCAGCAGGCGGCCAGAGCACCAGCUGCCAGCCGCAGCCGCCAGUAGCUCAGUCACAGCCUGCAGUCCGCGAGAGGUUUCUGCGCGCGCAGCUUGCCGCCAAGCUUGCCACAGCCUCGCGUAGCCGCCUCUGGCCGCAUCCACUCAUGCGCAACCUGCAGCCCAGGUGCUCCAGUCCACCACCAGCCCUCCCUGCGCACGGCCCCCACACAGCCCAGCCGCAAGCGACUCAGAGGCAGUUCUCCUCACACGGACCAGGCCAAGCCCCUACACUCUCUGCGCAGCUGAGCAGGCCGAAUCCUUCCACCUCCGCGCCCUCUGCGCCAGCCGUAGCCCACUGCUAGUCAAAAACUCUGGUGACUUCUUAUUUAAUUUCCUGUGACUUAGCUGAGGCCAGAUUCUUAAUUUGUGUUUAGCAGAGGACAGAUUUUUACUUUCUUAGCUGAGGCCAGAUUGUUAAUUUUUACUUUCUUGCUUUUGGGGUGCUGUGAUGGAUUGUUCAUUAUUUGUCAAAUUUUAUGCUAGAAUUUUGCGGUGAUUUUUGCCCUGGUUGCCUGCUUGCUUGUUUUUGAUGGGGAAUUUGCUGCGUUUGUUGAAUUAAUUGGUUUUCGGGUUGAUUUGGUAGUGUUUGGGGAGUAUUUUGUUGUUCAGAGGACCAAUUAGUUUUUGGGUAAGUUUAUUGUCUGUUUUUGCACUCGUCUGUGGUUGGGAGCUGUGACUGGGAAUCACUUGCUUUGUUGGCUGUUUCUGGACAUAUUUUUGAACACCUGUACCUAGCCUUUGCCCAGCCCUUUGCUCUCAAAUGACCAAACCCAAAACUAAAGGCAAGAACAAGCCUUCCACUUCAUCUCCUCAGCCUACGGUCCCCUUAGAGGGACCUGCCCCAUCGACUGGGCCUGGAGGGCCUCGUACCCGCCUUGGACGGAAUAGGGAGGUUCAUAUCUCCUCUCCGGCCCAUUUUGGCGGUCAUUUGACCUUCACCCGGGCUGCCGACAAGGAGCGGUACGCCUCGGCUUGUACAAGGAAGAUAAUUCCUUGUAAAUACAUUCAUGGCCCUACACUUGAUAUGCUAAACCUUAGGGCUGAGGUCGCACAGCACUUGACUAACGUAGGCUGGACCCGCUAUGCUUCUAUCAAUCAACCCGCUUUUACUGAACUCACAUGGGAAUUCUAUGCUACCUUUGAAUUUAAUAUUCCUGAUGAAUUCUCUGUUACCACUCCUGAGGUAGUGAGGUUUCGAUUAAUGGGUAGAGAGUUCAACCUCUCUAUCACUGAGUUUAAUUUGGCUCUUGGGUUUAUUGAUAUUCCUUACUCCCAGAGUGAGGAGUAUAUGCACAGUGCGUGCGAAUAUAUAGAGCCAUUUUUCUCUCAUUACCUUGAUUAUUGGAGUGGUUUGUCAGUUGACGGGCAAUGCUAUGACCCUAGUCAGUCUAAGGCUUCUUAUCUUAAGAGCGCCGCCUAUCGUUAUUUACAUAGAUUCAUGGCCUAUAGUUUCUCAGGUAGGAAGGAUAGCUCGGGCACUCUGACUAAGCCCGAGUUCUUUUUCGUUUGGUGCAUGGUCACUCGGACUAGGAUCAAUUUGGGUAGCUGGUUUGCCCUCCACCUCCGAACUGUGCUAAGUAAGAAAAAUAAACCAUCAAUCUUAGGCUCCUUUAUCACUCAGUUGGCUGUCAAUCUUGGGGUUUUGGACUUAAAUAAUCAUAACUUGCAUCGUGCUUGUAUUAUGGAGCCCCUUGAUUUGGUUUGUUUGGAGAAAAUGGGUCUUGUGCGACAGGUGAAUGACGUUUUCCAGUUUGCUCCCCCGGGACCAAUCUCCGUUCCUCCGAAGCGCAGCGCUUCCAAAUCUACUGCCAAUGAGGCGGGUGGGCCUUCCACGAGUGCCCCCGGACCAUCCUCUUCGGCACCUCCACCAUCUUCCUCCGUCGAUAGCCAGCUGGCGGCCCUCCGGUUCCAGAUGCAGCACAUGGACACUCGUAUGGAUCGGAUGGAGCGUCAAAUGGGCGGGGUGGCCCAGAAUUUAGCUCAGUAUCUCCAUCACGUGGGCUUCCGCCCGCCGUUUCCUCCACAACCGUGAUUCAUUUCUGCCCUCCUCCAUUUUUUCCAGGGAAGUAUCGUCGCCCCAAUUCCUCUGAUUUGGUCUUACUUUGCUUACAUUGAGGGCAAUGUCAGGUUUAGGUGUGGGGGAGGGUUAACUAUGCUUUAGAGGUGUUUGGUUGUCUGCUUGAGUUUUUCCUUGCCUUAGUAGUAGUCUUUUCCUUGAACGAUGAUGAAUGCGAAUUGGGAUAUAAGCGUACAUAGUAAGUUCAUGCCAUGGGGUGUUCUAAUUUCCUCGAUGAUGAAUUGAUUGAUGAAUAUGCUUAACUUGACAUGCAUUUGACCCCUCAUGCGAUUUUGAGCCUAAUAUUUUUCGUUUUUGAGUGAUUAGUGCACAUGGUUUGUCAUUCUAGAACUUGCUCGGUUAUGCAUGUCAAGACCACAUUUAAAUGAGUUUAAUGCAUUGAAAUGAUAGGGCACCUAGGAAUGGGCCAUUUCUGGACUUUCUCGAAACCAGCCCUUGGAUUAUUUACUACCAUUAGGGAGCCAUGUUGAGCCUUAACCCCUGUUCUUUGCUUGAGACCCCAGCUCUUAGCCAUGAAACCUCUUUUUAGACUUUCUUUUCGGACCUUGUGUGAAGAAGUGCUUUGAUUUCAUUAUACAGAAUUUUGGAGUAUUUCUAGAGGGGCAUCGUACCUAUCUUCCAAAAAAAAAAAAAAAAAAAAAAAAAAAAAAAAAAAAAAAAAGGGAUGUGAAAAAAAAAAGAGUGCAGGAAACCAGCAAGUAAAGUUGACUUUUAGGGUGCUGGUGGGGAGUAUUGAAAAGAAAAAGCAAAAAAAAAGGGGAAGGAAAAAAAAAAAGAGAAAAAGAAAAAGAAAAAGAGGAGAAGUAGAUGAAUGAAAAAGGAGAAAAGGCGAAGGUUGUGGCAAGUGCUAAUUCACUUCACUUGUGUGAUGGUUGAGAUGCCUUUAAAUUUCAAAGGUGCAAGAAUCUAUGUAAUGAACUUCUGGGCACUUUCUUUACACUUAUGCACCCUUUUGACCCCUUUCGAUCCUACUUUUUCACCCUAGCCCCAUUACAACCUUGCAAGUCCCUUGAUUGCUGCAUUUAAAUUCAUGAGUAAGUGGUGGAGAUAUGAUAUAUGAGCAAGCGUAUGGUAGUGUCAUUCUACUGUGUUGUUUUGAGAGCCGUCUUAUAUACAUUUCAUAUACACUUGGGAGUGAAUGAGUGCAUUUUGAACUGCGAGUAGUGUUGAUUUGGUAUAUUCUGAUUUCGAUAAGGUUAUUGAGGAACCUGGAAUGCCGCUCUUGGUGUGAACUGCUGUGAUUUGCUUAGCAUCUUGAUUUUACUUCUGAGUUAAUUAUGCUUGAGGGCAAGCAUAGUUCAGGUGUGGGGGAGAUUGAUAGGUUGUAUUUUAGUGGGUAUUUUGGGCAUUAUUGCACAACUAAUUGAUUAAAUAUUUUCACUAUUUGGGUGGAUUCUACUGAUAUUUUGUUUUGAUGCUAAUUGCAGGAAUGGUUGCUGAAAAGUGCUUAAAUUCAACUUUUAGAAGAGUCAUCGGACGUGGGGCCCGUUUGAGAAGUUGAAGAAACCUAAUUGUAAUAGAUUUUAUUUUAAUAUAUUUCUAGGGAGUCUGGCUGCAAUUUUUGGAAGAAAGUAACAAUUUUUGGCUAUUCGGGGAUAUUAUUUAUCUCGCUCGCGCAGCUUAGGUUAGACGGUUUUUUUUUCCCUCUUUGUUUUGGUUUUUCUUUGGCUCUGGAUUGAGACAAAAACAGCCGCAGCUGUGUAGGGAGAAAGGAACAGCCACUUUUGUUGACUUUGGGGAUUCUAUGAACUAUUGAUGGUUUUUUUGACCAAAUUGAGAAGUGAAAAACAAUUGCAAUCUUCCAAUCUCUUGUAUGUUUCUUGCGUGAGAGAAGAGAGAAAGUAAAAGUGAGCCGCAAUCGUGGACUUUGGUCAUUGCUUUUCAUUCUGGCUUUGACCGAAGGAAAUUGAAGCAAUCGUAAUCCAUUGUCGCCCUUUUCUCUCUUCGGUUGACCGAAGUGAACGAAGGUCAAGUCUUCCGUUUGCUGUGAUUAAGGAAUCGAUGGCUUCUUCCAACCCUGUACACGCGGCCUGUUCAGUAAUGGGGAACUAAACCCCUAAUUCUAGUCAAGGGAACUACUGACGAUUUGGUUCAGCAAUUACUGUGAGAUCGAAUUUAUUUUAACUAUUCCCUCCAUUUAUUAAUAUUUAUAUAUUUCCGGUUUCUACUUGUUAUAGCCUUAUAUAUGAUUGAUUAGUGCGCAAUAAUUAAUUGUUUAUAUAGGCUAUUUUGCUAUAUAGGGGUAAUUGAAUCCGUAAUUGUUCGUUAUCUUUAUCUCAGUAGCAACUGGCACAAUUGGAUUUGUGUCAGGGGAAUAUUUGAUCUGGCUUGAAUGAACCCUCGUAGCGUGUUUGUUAGUCAGGAUUGGGCCUUUCUAAUUACUAAUGCAAUCUAGAAAUUGAAUCCUACGGUCGUACCUAGGGUUGUUUUUGGGUUAGAGAAAUAGCUAACGGUCGUACCUUGGCUAUCGAUAAAUUAAGGAAGGGUUGGUUGUUUAGCGCGUGCGAGACAACUAGAACCAAUCUAUUAAUAAAGGUUGGAAUUAUUUUUGCAUCAAUGAUCAGUGCAUGAACCAUUUCUGAAGUAUACCCUUGGCUAGAGUUUCUCUUAGUUAUUUCUUUUAAUUAAUUAUUUUCUGCAUUUAAUUUGUUCAGUUGGCUCUUGAUACCAAAACCCCCCCCAUUAAUCUUGAUUUGAAAAGGAACAAAUAUCUCUCCAGUCCCUGAGGAGACGACCCUGCUUACCACUGUCUACUAGUUAGGGAGUUCAGUUAAAUAAUUUAUUCAGGUAUAUCGGAUUAAGCAAACUCUUCGGGAACAGGGUGAAUCAAGUAACCCAUUGCACACCUAGAGUCCCUGCUCCAGUACUCGAAUUGAUUACUAGCUGUUUCAGGUGGUAGUUAGGAUUAAUUUAUUAUUAUUGCACAGGUUCGGCACCUGUCAAACUUCUAGGAGCAAAUGCUAUUUAAUCCACUUUAACCGUAACAAGCAAAACUGCUGCACUCCCACUAUUGCUUCAAUUUUAUUUGACAAACAAACCAAGCAAAUGUAAAAGCAACUUAAAAAGCAUGAAGAGUUUAGGCUCAAAUCUUUCUCUGCCCACAUAUAUUUCAACAUGACUUGAUAUAUGCUCUACAUGGUACACCAAUUCAUAUAAGCUCAUCCUUAUUGACAUAGACAUAGUUAUAUACUUACAUACACAAUACACGAACACAUACACUCCCCAUCCUCCAUCCCCCUCGCAACCCUGCCAACGCAAUCACAGACACAAACACAAAGCAGAUCUAAACUACUAGACAGAGAGUCUAUAAAAGCCCUCACACCAUCUCAUCCUUCCUUGCAACACUCUUAAGCAAAGAAAAGCCAAGUUCUUACAUUGUAGAACAAGAUAAAAGGACUCCAACAAAUCUACAGCUUCUCCACUCUGUCAAGUCCAGUUAAUAACAGGGAAAAUUUCAAGAACAGGGCAUGCUCGAACCUUAUUUGACAAAGAAAGCACAAUGUUCGGCUAUCUAUAGAAGACCUUCAUGCGUGAAAUGUAUUUUCGUGUACACAUACUGGUACAUUUUGUACAAACGUCAGUCCAAAUGCCCUUCACAUUUGGCCUAAAAACCUGAACCCUUUAUUGAUUAGGGCUUCAAGGGCGCCCUUUUCCAUAAUAAUUCUACAGCAAAUUGCAGGAAACAGAAGACAAUGUGUAUCUAUCAUCCAACAACGCAAUAACCAAUCUAUCACAACAAAUUUACUUCUUCCUCUUCCUCCUCAUGUUUUCAAGCCAAUAGUACCCAAAUGAUAGGUUGCAUUUUAGUGGGUACUUUGGGCAUUAUUACACAAUUAAUUGACAAAAUAUUUUCGUUAAUUAGGUGGAUUCUACUGAUAUUUUGUUUUGGUGCUAAUUGCAGGAAUGAUUGCUGAAAAGUGCUUAAAUUCAACUUUUAGAAGAUUCAUCGGACGUGGGGCCCGUUUGAGAAGCUGAAGAAACCUAAUUGUAAUAGAUUUUAUUUUAAUAUAUUUUAGGGAGUCUGGUUGCAAAUUUGGAGAAGUAACAAUUUUUCGGCUAUUGUGGGGAUUGUAUUUUAUCUCUCGCGCGGCUUAGGUUAAGGAGGGUUUUUUUCUUUGUUUUUGGAUGACACGGGAGAACCGCAGCUUUGCAGGAGAAACGGCAGAGACAGAGGGCCACCAUUCUUGACUUCUGUACUUUCUCUUUUCCAUCUUGUGUGGACUUUGAAAACUCAGGAUUUGGUUGACUGAAAUUGGGAAAUCAAUGAAUUGAGGAACCUCUUUUCUCUCGUGUAUCUUACUCAGCAAAUAGGAAAAGAAAAUAAGGGCCGCAAUUGUUGACUAUUAGCUUUGCUUUCCAAUUGGUUUUGACCGGCAUUGAAGUAGGGCCUCAGACCCUCGUUUGCGUUGUUCUUUUUGGAGACAAUUGGAGGCGAUAAAAUCUUGUGUUUCUUCCUCCUGGGGUUGACCGGAGUGGGAGAACCGACUUGCGUACCUUUCCCCCUCCCACACGCGCGGUUUGUCCUUCAUUAAUGGCGGGCUAAUUCGCUAAUUCUAGACAAGGGGGCAACUGAUGAAUUGGUUCAACUAAUACUGUGAGAUCUAAACUAUUGUUGAUUGUUCUCUUCAUUUAUUGAUAUUUACAUGUUCCUUGCUUUCAAUCGCUAUAGCUUUGUGUAUGAUUGGUUAGUGCGCAAUAAUUAAUUGUUCACAUAGGCUAUUUUGCUAUAUAGGGGUAAUUGAAUCCGUAAUUGUUCAUUAUCUCUAUCCCACACUACAAGAAAAUUGUUCAUCAGUGACAACACAAAGUCAUCACAGAACAUACAAAUAUCGUCACAAAUACCUUUUAUUGACGACUUUUUAAUCGUCACAAAGUCGUCACUAAAUCCCCGUGGGUAAAAGUAAACAGUGACGACAUUAGUUCUCAUUAGUGACGACUUUAAGUAGAGCAUUUUUGACAAAAGAUCAAGUCGUCAAUAAAACACUUCCAGAUUGUCGUCACUAAUGACAACUAUUUAGUGACGACCUAAAAUGUCGUCACUAAAUAGUUGUCAUUAGUGACAACAAUCCGGAAGUAUUUUAUUGACGAAUUGACCUUUUGUCAAAAAUGCUCUACUUAAGGUCGUCACUAAAAAGCACCGAAAGCCAUUGUAUAUAACUAUUUUACUGACAACAAUUGUCGUCACAAAUUUAGCUUAGAUUUAGUGACAAUCUCUGUUGUGACAAGGAGUUUUUAUUUUCUAUUUUAUGACAACUUGUUUUUGUCAUUAGAUAAUUUCUCAAUAGCUUAAUAGUCAUAAUUUGGCCUGUAAUCAUUGCUAAAUCAUUGAUUUUAAACAAACCAUACAAAUAAACAUGAACGAUUGAUAACCAAAAGUAUUUGCAUUAGAUUACAUGGUAAUAAUAUAGCAUUCUCAAAUGCCAAAUUCAAGUGUACAUUACCCAACUAAUGCCUACAAAAAUAACAUUUGUCCAAAAUAUCACUUGUACAUAAGGUACAUUUACAAAAGCAAUCACAGUUUAAGAAAUUGAAGAACAUUUAAAUGAACCACUCCAUGAGCAAAAGGCAAUUUUGUCUUCAACAUUCUUCAACCAUAACCAUAGAUAUCUUCCAAAAGCUAGUAUGAAUAGCAUUUAUCUGUCAUAAAAGAGUAAAAGAAGUAGGUAAGGGGAGGAGUACAAUAAUAAAGAACAAGUAAUGAGACUUAGAUUAUUAAGACAAAAAUUACAAUUCAUUAAGAACCUCAUAUAAUUUGGGCCCACAUAUUACAACACCAGCAAGAAGUUAGAAAUCACAGUCCAAUCUAUACAAAUACUAGGGUCUGCUUCCCACGCAAGGCGUGGGAGCUUGAGACCUGUUAGUAAGGUUCCCUCCCAUGCAAAAGCAGUAUAUAUUAGUUGAUAAGAGCAGUUAAGUAUUGAUUGAAAAUAUCCUUGGUUAACACGCAAAAGCAAUAUACAUUAUUAGUUUAUAAGAGCAGCUAUGUACUGAUACAAAAAAUGGAGUAACGGCAGUUGAUUCUGUAGUGAAUAUUUUCUCCUGAAUGAUAGCCUUUGGCUAACAUUUUCUAUUGAAUAAUAACUACAGUAGCGCGAUGCGAAGGCACGUUAAAAGGCAUAAAUCAAUAUAUCAUGAUGCAUGCUUUAUAGAGGGUUAUAGAAACCUAAAAAGCAAAGGAUAGCAAUAAAGAAUAAUUAGGUUCUGUCUUCUUUAAAAAUUGUUAAAUCAAUAUAACUAAGGCUUUUGCUAAAUUUUUACCACAUCUUGACAUCAUCUCUCUUCUAAUAUACCACAGUACAGAUUAUCCAAAUGUGAAUGUUGAAGAUCUUGCAAUUCUUCGAAACUAAUAUUUGUUGCACUUAGUAAAAUGCUACCAAAAUCCUGCAACACAGCUCUUGAAAGAGGGGAAAGAGGAGAAACAAAGUCCGCCUGAUAUUUGAAGUUAACCAGAAGUUGUAGCGUCAAAGCCCAAAGUGCCCUCAGAAAUGUUUAUGUGAUACCCAUUGAAGCAAACCAUUAUAACAGCAGGGUAAUUAAAGCAAAGUCCAUGUCCCAUGGAAUGAAUUAAAAAGAACUAAAAGAAAGACACUUACCAUGUCAUCCUUCGCAAGGAAUGCAGUUCCGAUGAAGUAUACGCAACAAAUCAAAGCAGCAGUGACAAAGAGCUGCAUAAAUAUGAUCUAGCUUUUGGAUCUGGCAUGAGUGAAACCUGAAAAGGCAACAAAUUAACUAUCAGUACCCUAGAGACAGAAAGGUAUCAUUUCCAUUUAGAGUUAAUAAGAAGGUAUCGAAUUGUAACAUCAUAUACAAUUUCUUCAGCUAUAACAAAAGUUAUCAUUGUCAACCCUCCCAAGUAAACUUCAGAGAGUCCAAAAAACCACUCUGGCUCCAAAAUUGUUAAGGCCAAUAAAAAGUUUCUGAAAUCCUCAAAGAUAAAGGGGACCAUCAAACAAGCAUUCAGAAAAUGACAAUUUUACAAUAUACUUACAGAUGUAGCAAUACGUCCCACAUUACCAAAGGCAGCAUGGCCAAUAUCCGGGUAAGUCUCGAGCCCAGGUUGACUGUCCAAACAGGAAUGCAGGAGAAUCCCAGUGUAGUAAGAAACAACAGCAAAGAUAAACAGAAUUGAGAGCCCAACCCAUCCACCUUCUUUGACAGCACAAGUAGUUGAAAGAAUUCCAACACCACAAAGAACAUUUAUGCCUGUGAAAAGUAAAUGUACAUAAUUUUUAUGUGUCUUCAUUCACCAUGAGCACAUUAGCAGCUAAAUGCAAAGGCAAAAUCAGAAUUGUCAAGGCCUUCAAACGGUUCUAGAUGUUUCAUGAUAGUUUCUGAUUUGAUAUUUUAUUUCAUUUUGCAAGGAACUGCAAGGACGAACUUCCUUACAUCAGUGAAAAGGGAAAAGGAUCAAAUGUAUAGGUAGAAUAUACAUCUACAGAUAGAAGAAAAGGAUUUAGAAUAUUAUGCAAGCCAUCAAAGUUCUCAGUGAGUGAAUAGAUUAUAGCAAAUUUAGGCUUUUCUUUUUAAUUUACAGUAAAGCGAGCAAGUUCAUAUUCCUACAUCUAGAAGUUGAAUAAGGACAGAUUACUGAAGUACGAAUCAUCAACAUUCACGUCAACAUACAAGUUAAUUAUGCAGUUCCUCUGAUAAAUGCUUCUUUAAUAUUCCUGCAUUUCUAUGUAGAUUGAUGGAUGUUCAAUCAAAUAAACCUACCAUUCACCACAGCUUGUCCAUAUGAACUCUGGCUAGGAAGAGAAACCUCAUGUGAGACCUUGGAUGAUUUCUUGUCAGCAGUUGCUUUUCUUAAGGAAGGCCUCCCUUGAAUGGAGGGCAGCAGAGAAUGUGAACUACGCCUUUCUGGUGGCCGACGUGCAUCUGCUACUGGUGGUAAUAGAGGUUUUGCGAAGAAGGGAGUACUUCAGGAGUGUAUCUUCUUGUUAAUGAAUAAGAGAUACAUGAGCUGCCUAAACAUGAUAACGUAGGCGUCCCCAGGAAGUUAAGACUUGGAGAUGGUACACUACUGUAUAAAUCGAUGGACUGCCUGAUACAAGGAUAUGAGAUACCAAGCAUUAUCAACCAGAGUUUGAACACAGUCCAAGUGAGAUGACUAAUGUAACCAUUUCUCAAAUAUAUAAUCCAGUUAUGCAAGUUUAAAACAAAUUAACAAAGAACCAUUGGAAUUGAUUCUAAAUCUUAAAAGCUAAGAGCGAAAUUAUUUGCAGCUGGUAGAAUUGCACAUGAGGGAGUGAUGGUUGUACUUUUGAUCAAACCAGUAUUUUUUAUCCUCUCCAAAAACAACUGAAAACCGAUGCAAAUAAGAAACGCUGGUACAUGAUUGGAGGAGGAGAGUGGAUCUCUGGCACUUAUUUCAAUCAAAAUAUCUAGCAGACUGUCUAAAAGUUGGUAUAGUUCUGGCCAGAUGUUAUGACACACAAGUUAUGGAAAUUGGUUCAGUCUUCCAGAAUCAGCCGUUCGAUGAAAGGUAAUAUCCAAAAUAUGGUUUCUACCAUUGAUAAAUGUAGCAAGGACAAAUACAACUCCUUCACUUCCAAAGAUGGUUCACAGGGAUUAACCACCAAUCCCUCAUGACGAAGGAAAAUCUUUUCAAUAGAGGCAGUACUCAGCAAUAUAAGUGCAUCCUACCAAGUUCCACUAAGCUGAAGAAAGAUCCAGGGAAGACAUAAAAUGCUCUGGCCUUUUGAUAACAUUACAUAGCCUACCUUAAGCCCAUAGCUAUCCUUUACUGAUGUUACUGGAUCUAUUCAAACUCAUAAACUAUUGAUAUUCAUGGCCGAAACAGAAUGAAAAUACUUGAAGAAGCUUCAAAAUAUGAAUGAUGAAAGCAUUUCAAUCCCAUUUCUAAAUAUCUCUCCUAGCCAAAAAUGAAUAGGUAAAGCUAAAUAUCUGGUACCAUAUAAAUAUAACAGCUUUCAAGAAACCAAGUGCUUCACUGCUAAAUACAGAAUCUGCACAACAAGAACAGAACAAACAUAGAGAACACCAUAGCUAGAUGUAGAAAGAAACAAAUAUAGAUAUGUGCGAUAAGAUGAUACUACCUGUAACUUUGAGGCCAAGAGGUGGUGAUAGAUUUGCUCUCCGGCCUUUCGUCCUCAUUAUCAUUAGAAUAACUGCUAGAAUCAGAAUUAUUUCCAUCUUCACUAUUUUCUUUCUCCAGUGCCUAAAAUCAUUGCCAGCUGCAAAAAAGCUAAGCUCUUGAGAAGCCUAAAAUCAGAACAAAAUCCGCUUAGCAUCAGAGGCAGCAACUAAAGUACAGAACAAAAGAGAGGGUUGCCCCUCUAGAAUUCAACACUUCUAUCUGUAACAUUAUUCAGCAAUAUAGCAGGUUGUUUACAGAAUUUGGAAUAUUAAACAUCUUUUAUUGCUAAUAACAACAAAGAAAACAAGAUUGAGGCAACAUUGGGAACAUCUUAUGUUUCACUUCUCAUGGCUAUAUACUCUCAUUCACGGAAAGAAAACAAGAUUGACCAAGAAAACCGAAAAGUAGCAUGUCGAAUUCUCUCCAGCGGUGGAUUUGCAUAUUUACCUUAUAUAUGAAGCUUCAUAUUAACAUACGAAUGAUGUUGAAAACUCAAAAACAGUGAAUAGUAUGUUAUGCUCUUUCUUGAUAAAUAGCUAGAGAAAAAAAACUAUUUUCCCAAUUGUUUUGUCAAAUAAAAUCAAAUUUCUCGACACAAGGGGACAUUGAUUCCAUAUUUGGAAAAAUAUAUGCUUUGGACUGGCCAGAGUCUCUCUCAAAUUAAAAAAACAUAAAAUCUCCUCUUUUGGUUCAAGAUUUCCGUUCGGGCAUUUUAUCAAACACUAAAUGGGCGUGAAAAACUUCAGCAUAUUGUGCUCAAUUGAGGUUAUGACUAGCCCAAAAUUUGUUAUAAACACGAGAUAAAUCAGUCCAAUCGACACCUAGAGCCUGUAUAUUCUAAAACCAUAAACAAUCAACAAGAAAAUUGUACUAACAGAGACACGGAAAACAUGCUUUGGGAGCUCAGACGUUUGUGCUUGAAUGGGAACUGAAGUUCAAAGAGGGAAGACGACUUACAGGGCUUUCUUGGUGAAAUUCGCAGGUGGCAAUGGAUAUCCGAUGGGUGGUGACGGCUCGGUGAGUUGGAAAUCUCCGCUGCUGUUGCUGCUCAAGCUAUCCACGGAAGAGGAGCAGGUGGAGAAGAAUUUGAUGAGAGUCUCGACGUCGUAGCUGUUCUUGCCCUUUUCACCGAGAACAGAAAGGUUGCUGAGGAUGAGUUUUUUUUUGGGCUUGGCGCGGACAGAGACGACGGUAAAGGGGAAGGGCUGUGGUGGAGGCGUUGGGCAGAAAAGGCUUGUAUUAGAAGUGGGGAGGAGCAGAAUGGGAAAUGAGGGGUUUUUGUGGAGGAUUCGUUUGGGGAAAUUGGGGGGAAUUUGAGGACGGAUGGUGGAAAGAGAGUGGUGGCAGCCGGCAGCCGGUUGAGGUGGUGGGAAAUUUGGCAGUGGUGAUUGGAAAAAUUUUUAUCGGAUGAUUGAAGCUGAAACCCCCAUUUCCCUUUUGUGUGUUUUUUUCGUUGCUUGUUUCCUCCAUUUUUUGCUCAGCCCGCCGCCUGGUUCCUCUUUUCCCUCUACUUUUCCUUUUUAUCCCUCGCGCCCUUCUUCUUUUUUCUUUCUUUCCCAGUUCGCCGAAGCUUUCAUGCCCAAAACCUAGCCGCCCCUCUCUGUUUUUCUCCCUCUGCUCCCUUUGCUUAGCUUUCUUUCCCCUUUUUUUUUGUGUGUCCGAAGCCUCUCCUUACUCACUUUCUCCUUUGGCCCUAAAAACUCCAUCUUUUCCUUUUUUCCUUUUUUCAUUUUUUUCCCCCAAAAAUUCCUUAAACUUACCAAGUGUCCCUAACAUAAAAGAGACACUUGUCCAAAUGCAUGCCUCCCCACUUGUCACUUUCACUCUUUUUUUUUUCUUUUCUCUUUUUUUCCUUUUUUUCUUUGUUUUCUGAAAUUUAGUAUGAAGACAAAAAAUAAAAUAAGCCAGAACAAAAAUAAAAAAAAUAAAAUAAAAAAUAAAAAAACCCUAGAAUUGAAACAAAUAAACCUAUUAAAUUAAUUAAACAAAUAAAGUUAAAAAAUCAAAAAUUUGGUGUCUACAAUGUAAUUGAAAAUAAUAAAACUCAAAUUAUAUGGUUAUAACACAGUUUCAAUAAAAAUAAUCAUUUUCCCAACAUUUGAGACCAAUCAUCAUGCUUUUUUUUUAUUUUUAAUUUGGUUUGAAGCAUAGAUUUUAUUGCUAUAGUAUUAUUCUUUAUUUUUUAGUACAAAAACACAAAUUUUCAUCAAUAUAGGUGGCAAAAUUUGUUAAUUACAUAUAAGUGAAAAUAUACUUUUAUAAUUUGCAAAUAUUUUAGCCCUGCAAUUUUUUAUAAUUGCAGCACUAAAAUACAUCAUUAAUUGAAAAUAACGAAAGUCAAAUUCUAUGGUUAUAACAGACUUUCAUUAAAAAUAAUCAAAUGCUAUUAAUAAGACAUUAUAGUUAAGUCAAAAUUAAAGAAAAUUUAGUGAUGACAUAAUGUUAUCACUAAUUUAUUCAAGAUUAUAAUGACAAGGAAAGUCGUCACUAAUUAAAUUGCUAGUUUUUAAUAUUGUCAAUUGCUAGUUUUUAAUACUUUUGUGAAAAUAUUGAUAAUGGUUGAGAAAAUUUUGUUACAUUACUGCAAGUGAUAAAUGUACUUUUGUUCUUUUUCAAACUUUUAUUUUAAUGUUUAAUUUUGUUUAAAACUAUUGUACUAGUAUAGAUUUGCAAGACAAAACUUAAGUUCUCAAUAGUUAAAAAAUUCAUUAUAGAGAAAACACAAAGUAGUAGUUGCAAAAUGUGUAUAAAUUACAGAUAUUUUAAUGUGUAUAAAUUACAGUUUAUUUUAAUGUUUAAUUUUGUUUGAAACUAUUUUACUAGUAUAGAUUUGCAAGACAUAGAUUUAUGGGUAAUUUCUUUUUUUUUUUGCUUUCACAUAUUUAAUUUAUGUUAAAUACAAAACCUACCAGUUUCCCUUUCAUAAAAAUAUUAGUGCAACACUUUUUGAAUUUUACUUACAAACAUUUAUGUAUUUAACAUAAAUUAAAUGAUUUAGAGUGAAAUGCCCAUAAAGAGCAGAAUAUUUGUUCAUGUAAUGGAAGAAACCCACAAAGAGUUGGUACUUUAUGGGCCAUUUCUUUUUUUAAAAAAAUUUAAUUUAUGUUGAAAAGAUAACCUGUCAGUUUUCGUUUUGUAAGAAAUCAGUGUAACACUUUUUGAAUUUUACUUACAAACAUUUAUAAAUUUAUCAUAAAUUAUAUGUUUGAGAGUAAAAUGCCGAAUAGAUAAUGCUCAUUUGCCCAUAAACUACACUCCCUGAAAGCUAUUUUGUUAAUUACUUUGUAGUACUUUGUUAUUCCUUUGCUAAUACUACUUGGCAUGUAGUACAAAGGAUAAAUCUGGCAUAAAUUUCUUAUUCCAUUGAUAAAAAGACCUGCCUGCCUUAUAACUAUUAUAAUGAAAGAUAUAUCUUUAGAGUUUAUAACAAAUUAUUACUUAAGUUUGAGAAAAUUAUAAAAUAUUUAUGCAUAGUUUAUCAAGAUACCAUUCGCAAUUUCCUAAUAAAAAAAUAGGGGCUAAAUUGUAAAAGUUAGGGUGCCAUAAUAGAAAUAAUAAAAUUGGUGUAUUACAUAUGGGGGUUAAAUUGCAAAAGUUAGAGUGCCAUAGUAGAAUUAAUGAAAUUGGUGAAUUACAUAUGGGGCUAAAUUACAAAAGUUAGGGAGUAAUAAUAGAAUUAAAGAAAUCGGUGUACUACAUAUGGGGCUAAAUUGUAAAAGUUAAGGUAUUAUAAUGGAAUUAAUGGAAUUUUUUACAACAUUUAGGGCUAAAUCGCAAAAGUUAGGGUGGCACAGUAGAAUUAAUGAAAGUGACUUAGAAAUAAGUACUUUAAACAGUGACGAUUAAUUCUUGUCACUAAAUCCGAAUCGGUAGAGUGACAGUGACGAUAUUAGAAGUUGUCACUAUAUAGAUCAUUUUAGUGACAACGUUUUUCAAGGUCGUCACUGAAGACUUAGUUGCUUUAAGCAAUUAUGACAACUUUCCUUGUCGUCACUAAACAACCACGUUUUGUGACAACUUUUGUCGUCACUAGAAAAUGUUGUCACUAAUGACCAUAUUUCUUGCAGUGUAGUUUGUGACGAAAAUAACGGGUCGUCACUAAACAUUUAGUUACUUUGAUGCAAUUGUGACAACUUUAGGUAUCGCGACUAAAGAAGCUCCUUUUGUGACGACUUAUUGUCAUCACUACAAAAUGUUGUCACUAAUAACUUUUUUUUUUAGUGAUCAGUGACGACAACAAAAAAUCGUCCGUAAAUAGGCCAAGCAAUAGUGAUGAUGUUCUUAAUGUCGUCACUAUUGUGUGUUCUAAACACUCCCGCACUCUUGCUAUGAGUUGGCUCCCAUUAGAGGUUUGUGACGAGUUAGAAAGUUGUCAAUAAAGGAUAUCCUUUUGUGACAACUUUUUUUCGUCACAGAGAAAAGUUGUCACUGAUGACCAAUUUUCUUGUAGUGCCAGUAGCAACUGGCAUAAUUGGAUUUGUGUCAGGGGAAUAUUUGAUCUGGCUUAAAUAAACCCUCGUAGCGUGUUUGUUAGUUAGGAUUGGACCUUUCUAAUUAUUAAUGCAACCUAGAAAUUAAAUCCUACGUUCGUACCUAGGAUUGUUUUUGGGUUAGAGAAAUAGCUAACGGUCGUACCUUAGCUAUCGAUAAAUUAAGGAAGGGUUGGUUGUUUAUCGCGUGCAUAACAACUAUAACCAAUCUAUUAAUAAAUGUUGGGAUAAUUUUUGCAUCAAUGAUCAGUGCAUGAACCAUUUCUGAAGUGCACCCUUGGCUAGAGUUUCUCUUAGUUAUUUCUUUUAAUUAAUAAUUUUCUGCAUUUAAUUUUUUUUAGUUGGCAUUUGAUACCAAAACCCCCCAUUAAUCCUGAUUUGAAAAGAAACAAAUUUCUCUCCAGUCCCUGAGGAGACGACCCUGCUUACCACUGUCUACUAGUUAGGGAAUUCAGUUAAAUAAUUAAUUCAGGUAUAUCGGAUUAAGCAAACUCUUCGGGAACAGGGUGAAUCAAGUAACCCAUUGCACACCUAGAGUCCCUGCUCCAGUACUCGAAUUGAUUACUGACUGUUUCAGGUGGUAGUUAGGAUUUAUUUAUUAUUAUUGCACAGGUUCGGCACCUGUCAAUUUUUGGCGCCGUUGCCGGGGACUGGCGUCUGAAUUAUUUAUUUCUUUUUGAAUUCAAUAUUUAUUUUAUUUUAUUUUAUUUUUAUUUUUCUUGGUAUUUUUAUUAGUUUAUGCCCCGUUCUUCUCGCACAGGUGACUUGGUAUACGAUCCUGAGGUUGAGAAGGCAGCGCGUAGGCGAAGGCAAGAGACCAAGAGACGAAAAGAAGGGCACUUAUUUUCUACAAACGAGUAAACGAGUAAACGAAUUUAGCAUGACCAACACCCAGACACUGAGGGAGCUGGCUACCCUAGACCUGACUUAUCAGCCCUUGUGCAUCACGUUCCCCACUCUGGCUGAAAAUACCUCUUUCGAGCUGAAAUCGGGGUUGAUUCAGCUCCUGCCUUCGUUCCAUGGUCUUUCUGGUGAAGAACCCUACAAACAUGUCAAGGAAUUCAAAGUGGUUUGCUCUAGCAUGAAACCUCCUGGGAUCACUGAGGAGCAAAUAAGACUGAGAGCCUUCCCCUUCUCUCUCAAGGAUGCAGCGAAGGAUUGGUUAUACUAACUGCCUGCAGGUAGUAUCACCACGUGGGCACAAUUGAAAAAGAAAUUCCUGGAGAAAUUUUUCCCCGCAUCCCGGGCUGUAAGUUUGAGGAAGGAGAUUUGCAGCAUCAAGCAGUACUCCGGGGAGUCAUUGUACGAUUUUUGGGAAAGUUUCAACAAGUUGUGCGCUAGAUGCCCACAACAUCAGAUUAGUGAACAACUGUUGAUCCAAUACUUCUAUGAGGGGCUCCAGUCAACUGACAGGAGUAUAAUUGACGCUGCGAGUGGAGGGGCCCUGGCGAACAAGACACCUAGAGAGGCAUGGGACCUGAUUGAAGCCAUAGCAGAGAACUCUCAGCAGUUCGGCUUCCGUGAGAGCAAUCCUACCCGUAGAGUAAAUGAAGCAGAGACGUCAUCCAUCCAGCAGCAACUGUCAGAGUUGACGUCUGCAGUCAGGCAAUUGGCCAUGAGAGACACACCGCGAGCAAAGGUGUGUGGAAUCUGUACUAGCAUUGACCACUGCACGGAUUCAUGCCCCAUUCUGCAAGAGGACGGGGCGGAACAGGUAAAUAUGGCCGGAGGCGUGCCCGCGCCCCGCAGGCAGUAUGACCCGUAUUCCAACACAUACAACCCCGGUUGGAGAGACCAUCCCAAUCUCAGUUAUGGGAACAGGCAACAAGGUUCAUUCCCGAAUCGUCCACCAGGAUUCCACCAGUCUUGGCAACCUAAAUCUCAACCCUCAUUCUCCAAUUCAGGAAGAUCCUUGGAGGACCUAGUCAAGAACCUGGCCACGACUACUACCAACCUGGCCACGACUACUACACAGUUUCAACAGGAGAUCAUAUCCUUGGCCGCGAAUACCGCGCAACUCCAGCAGGACACCAAAGCUGACAAGAAGGACCAAGAUGUUCGAAUUAGUCAACUGGCAACUGCCAUCAACUGCUUGGGGUCUCACGUUUAUGGGAAACUGCCAUCGCAACCCGAGGUAAAUCUCAGGAAUGUAAGUGCCAUGACGCUGAGGAGUGGCGUCAUGGCAAGGAGUUGGAAGGGCCUAAAGUGAAAAAUUCAAAAAGCAAAAGCGAGGAGGAGAUAGAAAAGGAAAUUGAGGAGGAAGGACGUGUUCGUGAGGAUCCUAAGGUAACCUCCACCUCUCCACUCACUAUUAGCUCUAACUUACCCCCUUUUCCUUGCAGGUUGGAAAAGACAAAGAAGGUAGAGAAGGAAAAAGAGCUCUUGGAUGUGUUUCGGAAAGUGGAGAUCAACAUUCCCCUGUUGGAUGCAAUCAAGCAGAUACCGAAGUAUGCUAAAUUUUUUAAGGACUUGUGCACCCACAAGAGAAAGCUAAGGGGAGAUGAACGAGUGACGGUGGGAGAGAACGUGUCAGCUAUACUCCAGAGAAAACUCCCACCAAAAUGUGGAGACCCAGGUAUGUUCACCAUUCCCUGCAAGAUAGGAGGUACUCCAAUUAGUAAAGCAAUGUUGGAUUUGGGGGCGUCAAUUAAUGUUAUGCCUAAGACGAUUUAUGCAUCUCUAAAUCUUGGCCCGUUAAAAGGCACAGGCAUUAUAAUCCAACUUACAGACCGUACCAAUGCUUACCCAGAAGGGUUAGUUGAAGAUGUUUUGGUACAGGUCAAUGAGUUAGUUUUUCCUGCAGAUUUCUAUGUUCUAGACAUGGGGGAUGAAAGGGCACUAAAUCCGUCUCCUAUUCUGUUAGGUAGGCCAUUUUUAAGCACUGCUAGGACAAAAAUAGAUGUAAAUGAGGGUACUUUGUCGAUGGAGUUUGAUGGGGAAAUUGUAAAUUUUAAUAUUUUUGAAGCGAUGAAGUACCCAGAUGAGACUAACUUUGUUUAUGCUUUAAGUGUUGUCGAGCCCCUUGUACAGGAAAUAUUUGAAUUGGAUGGGGUUGAUGCACUGACAGUGGCAUUAGCCAAACAUCUUGAGUUGGGAGCAACUCCUGAUGUAGAAUUGAGUGAUGAGUUAUACCGGGCUGUGGGAGCACUGCAUUCGCUCCCACCAAUUUCUCCUAGGUAUGAGCUUACUUCUGUUUUUGUACCAGAAACUCAGGCAAAAUUGUUGCCUUCUAUUGUGCAGGCGCCUGAGUUGGAGCUCAAGCCUCUCCCAAAGCAUUUGAAGUAUGCUUUUCUCGGGGACAAUGAGACACUGCCAGUCAUCAUAUCUGCACACCUGUCACCAGGGCAAGAAGACAGACUAAUUCGUCUUCUUCGGGAUCAUAAGGAGGCAAUUGGGUGGAGCGUAGCAGAUAUCAAGGGAAUUAGCCCCUCUUUAUGCAUGCAUCGGAUCCGGCUUGAGGAGGAUGCAAAACCAGUGAGGCAGGCGCAACGGAGAUUGAACCCACUGAUGAUGAAGUGGUGAAGAAGGAGAUACUUAAACUCCUAGAAGUGGGGAUCAUUUUCGCCAUCUCAGAUAGCCCCUGGGUGAGCCCAGUGCAAGUAGUCCCGAAAAAGGCGGGAGUAACAGUUGAAGAGAACCAAGAGGGUGAGAUGGUCCCGGUGAGGAAACCCACAGGAUGGCGCCAGUGCAUUGACUAUCGGCGUCUGAAUGCUGUGACAAAGAAGGACCACUUCCCUCUACCUUUUAUUGAUCAAAUGAUAGAGAGGUUAGCUGGCCGUGUCUAUUACUGUUUUCUUGAUGGUUUCUCUGGUUAUUUUCAAAUCGCAAUAGCACCAGAGGAUCAGGAGAAAACUACCUUCACCUGCCCCUUUGGUACUUUUGCCUAUCGGAGGAUGCCUUUCGUCCUCUGCAAUGCCCCAGCAACUUUCCAGAGGUGUAUGGUGAGUAUAUUUUCUGAGUAUGUGGAAAAGAUUAUCGAGAUGUUUAUGGACGAUUUUAGUGUAUAUGGAGAUAGUUUUGAUGAAUGCCUUGAUAAUUUAGCUUUAAUUUUGAAAAGAUGCAUUGAGGCAAAUUUAGUGUUAAAUUGGGAAAAGUGUCAUUUCAUGGUGGAUCAGGGUAUUGUUUUAGGGCAUGUAGUGUCGGCCAGAGGUAUAGAGGUAGACAAGGCAAAAGUCGAUAUUAUUUCUGCUUUACCUUACCCCGCAAGUGUGCGGGAGGUGCGCUCUUUUUUGGGUCAUGCAGGGUUCUACAGGAGAUUCAUCAAAGAUUUCUCCAAAAUUGGAGCGCCCCUGUUCAAACUGUUGCAAAAAGAUGUAGCAUAUGACUUCACCGAGGAGUGCAAGGUGGCAUUUGACAGGUUGAGGGAGUCAUUGACAUCGCCACCUGUUAUCCAACCUCCAAACUGGAGCCUCCCAUUUGAGAUAAUGUCUGACGCGAGUGAUUAUGCAGUGGGAGCGGUGCUGGGGCAACGGAUUGGCAGAGCUGCACAUGCAAUCUACUAUGCAUCGAAGGCGUUAAAUGGAGCUCAGCUCAACUACUCUACAACAGAAAAAGAAUUGCUAGCUGUGGUUUUUGCAUUAGAAAAAUUUAGACCUUAUUUGUUAGGUGCAAAAAUAACAGUUUUCUCUGAUCAUGCAGCCUUGAGAUACUUGAUGACGAAGAAGGAUGCUAAACCAAGGCUCAUCAGAUGGAUCCUGCUCCUUCAGGAGUUCAACUUGGAGAUUAAAGAUAAAAGUGGGGCAGAAAAUUUAGUUGCUGAUCACUUGAGCCGCUUGCUUGCUCAUAAGGAGGAGCCACUGAUAAGUUGUAUUUUUGCGAUUAAUUUUAUGAUUAUUUUCCUCUUUUAUUAUACCAAAUAUUGCGUUAAUUGAUGGAUUCUACUUAUAUUUGGUUAAUGGUGCUAAAUUGUAGGAAAAAGAGCAAAACGUGACAAAAAGGGGCAAUCUUCCAAUUAAUUUGAUGGUGGCACAUUCGGGAUCGAUUUCCAAGUUCGAUUCAAACUCUGGGCAGCUUUAGAGGAAGAUUUGGAAGACUUGAAUUCUAAUUACUAGUCUUAUUGUUGAAUUAGGAAACUUGAAAUACUUUCUUUUGUGGUUUAUUUUGCUAUUUAGGAAACUAGUUCUAUUAGGUAGUAUUUUUCCAUUAGGAAACAAAGAAGAGAAAGAGCCGGAUCCCGCGUGAUAAAAACUUCAACUAGCAACAAAUUCGGAUCUUCUUUUGACGGCAGAAAUAAAAGAGGACAAUUGCUUUGUUCUUAUUACUUUUUUUUUCCUGGGCUAGUUGGCCGAUUUUGGCCAGGAACAAUCUUGUAAACUUCAAAUAGCUCUUUUGCACAGCUGGAGAACUAGCUUCUCAAUUCUAGUCAAGGGGACAACUGAAGAUAUGGUUCAACAAUUACUGUGAGAUUUAAUUUAUUUUAAUUGUUUCCUUCAUUUAUUGGUAUUCAUAUGUUUCCUGCUUUUAACCGUUAUAGUUCGUGUGGAUGAUUGAUUAGUGCGCAAUAUUUAAUUAUUCACAUAGGCUAAUUUGCUAAGUAGGGGUAAUUGAAUCCGUAAUUGUUCGUUACCUCUAUCCCGGUAGCAACUGGCGUAAUUGGGUUUAUGUCAGGAAAACAUACGAUCUAACUUAAACAAACCCUCGUAGCGUGUUUGUUAGUUAGGAUUGGGCCUUUCUAAUUAUUAAUGCAAUCUAGAAAUUAAAUCCUACGGUCGUACCUAAGAUUGUUUUUGGGUUAGAGAAAUAGUUAACGGUCGUUCCUUGACUAUCGAUAAAUUAAGGAAAGGUUGGUUGUUUAUCGCGUGUAUGACAACUAUAACUGAUCUAUUAAUAAAUGUUGGGAUUAUUUCUGCAUCAAUGAUCAGUGCAUGAACCAUUUCUGAUGUGUACCCUUGGCUAGAGUUUUCCCUUAAUUAUUUCUUUGAAUUAAUUAUUUUCUGCAGUUAAUUUAUUUAGUUAGCAUUUAAUCCAAAACCCCCCAUACUUUGGACUCUAGAAGAAACGAGUUAUCCCCAGUCCCUGUGGAUUCGACCCUACUCACCGCUAUAUACAAAAUCUGUAUUUUUCUCGAGUAGGUAUUUAUUAUUGCACAGGUUCGGCACCUGUCAAUUUUUGGCGCCGUUGCCGGGGACUGGUGUCAGAUUAAUUUGUUUCUUUUUGAGUUCAUUGUGUUUUGAUUUUGAUUUUGAUUUUUUUAAUAUAGUUUAUGGCUUCUAACACUCCGUAUUUUGGUGAUAUGCUGGAUUUUGUUUUUGGGGAAGGCAAUGAGAUUGAUUGUUUUUCUAAGUUUGCAUACUUAGAGGCAAUAAACUCUAUUAAAAAAAGAAUGGCUGCUGCAACCUGUGAAAUUUGUUAUGCCAGGGAUCAUUCAACUGGUAUGUGCCCCGAAUAUCAAGAUAAUCUGAGUGUCCCAUUCAAUAAUUAUGGAGAUUUUUCACCCUGGUCUCAAACGUGGUAUAACCCUAAUCCAAACGGGUAUGAUCAAGGAUGGUGGGAUAACUCCAGUUAUGAUUAUACAACAGGGCCAAUGAAUUUUCAGCAGUAUGAGUCUCAAGAAUCAUCAUCUAUGUCAGGUAUGUCUCUUGAAGAGAUAGUUGAAUUAAUAGCUACUAACACAUAUCAAAUUCAACAGGAGACACAAGUGAGCAGGCGUAACCUAGCAGAUCAAAUGGAUCAAUUGACAUUUAGGAUAACGUCAUUGGCUUCUCGAAUGAGUGAAGAAUUGCCCUCACAAACUAUUAUCGACCAUGAGAAAUAUGAGAGUGCAAUUAUCCUGACGAAUGACAUGGUACUGCAAGAGUCUCAAGAAGAAGAAUCUAAAGAUGCAGUUGAAAAGAAAGUUGAAGCACAAGAAUUGAGACCCCAACAUCAAAUGGUUCAAGUGAAUGAAUCCAGUGAACAAUCUCCAAAUGCGGUGACAUCUCCUCCAUUCCUUGAUCAAUAUUUUCCUGACUCUUAUUCUUUAAUUCCUGUUAGUGAGAUUGGUUUUAUUAUACCAGACGAUUUUGAAUUUCAUGCCAGGAAUAAGUUAAGAGUCAUGAUGGCAAAAUAUUUCGAACCAAUAAGUGCUCGUGAUGGAGGAGUGGGUGAAGAUUUAAGAUCAUCACUUGUUUGUUUGGCGCCAUCUACUAGCCCAUGGAAGACCGUAGCUCGUGUGCUCAAGAAUUACUUUAUUUACGAGGGCUAUCAGAAUUACAUAGAAGAUGAAGCACUGAACCGAGCUACACUAUUUUAUCCUCCAUGAAUAAAUAUGUCAAUGUCUAGCCAAAGACAUUAAAGAAAGGCGCUACUUGAGAGGCAACCCAAGAUUCUUUAUUUUAGUUUUCUUAUGCUUUUUGGAAUUUUUGUUAAGUGUUAGUUGCAUUUAGUGAUUUGUUGCUUUUGUGGCAGGAAGCUGACAGUUAGCGUGCCCACGCCAGGUGGUCACGUGAUAGGGUAUUAAUUGUUAGUAAUUUUAUCGUUAAUUCUCCUCUUUAUUCUUGCCAAAUAUUGUUUUAAUUGUCAAUAUAUAUUUACAUUUGGUAUUUGGAUAUAAUUUCAGAAAAUGGAGCAGAAAAGUGCUAAAAAGGGAACAUUCUUGAGAAGAUUUCUCCACACGUGAAAGCUUCUAAAAGCUUUCCACAAUCAGCCCAAAUUGUGCAAACCAACGGAAUUGCUGAUGAAGAAUUGAAUUGAUAUGAUGAAAUCCACUAGCAAUAAGAAAUCAAAGCGGGGACCACGUAGAAAGUUGAGGAAUUGCUUUAGACAUUUGGUUCCUCUUUUGGGAGAUGUAAUUGAUUAGCUAUGGCUGGCAUUUGAUCAGGAGAUUACUUUUCCAAUUGCUCCCUACGUAGCUAGUCCCUUAAGAGACUAGUGCUCCAAUAAAAUAAGAAGGCACUAGAUUAAUGGGCUCAAGGAGAAAAGACUAUGAAAAAGCUAUGAAGACUAAAGGCUUGCCUUAUAUAUAUCGGACGAUGGCAGAAGACAUUAGACUAGUGAGUUUUAGUUUUCUCUCCAAAGAAGCUCCGUAGGUAGAAUAGGUAAUUGAUUGGUUUGUUGGAUUUUGGGUGUGAAGUUUUCUCCAGAAGUUUGUUUUAUGUUUUUUCAUUCAACUAGUUUCUUCCAUGAAACUAGUUUUAUUGCAUUAGAUUACGGAGAAUCAAAUUUUCAUUUUCAGUUACUAGCAAGAGUUAUUUAUGUCUUCGAAUUUAAUUAAAUUGCGUGGGAAUUUUCUUAUGAGGCGUGGCUAAUUUUCUCAUCUAGUCAAGGAUCAACGCGACGACGCAGUCCCAUAUAUCUGUGAGAUCUAAUUAAUUUUACGUGUUCCUUAAUUUGUUAAUAUUUGCAUGUUUUCUAUUUGAAUUUUAUGGGAUUAUUUUGUUAAUUGGAUAUCAAGGGCCCGAUGUGCAAUUUUGACUUAUUAAUCUCUUGUCAAAUUAAUCAAUUAAAUCCGUAAUUGUUUAGUUGGUUAAUAUUAGUGACAAUUAGUAUUUUUACAUACUAGGGGAACAUGCAAUCUGAUUUAAAUAACCCUCGUAGCGUGUUAUUAAUUUGGGUUAGGCUUUUCUAGUUUUUAAUGCAAUUAGGAAAUUAAUUCCUACGGUCGUACCUAGGAGUAUUUCCUGGUUAGGGGUAAUCAAUGUUCGUACCUUGGUUAUCAAUAAAUUAAGGAAAAACUGGUCGUUAGAGCUUAUCGGCGACUAUAACUAGCCUAUUAAUUAAAUUAAGUGAACCUUCUUUGCAUCAAUGAUCGGAUGAAUGGACUGUGUCUGCGUAGUUGUAUCCUUGGCUAGAAUUUAUUUAUCAUUUAUUUAAUUGCUAUUUACAAUUGUAUUAAUUAAUUAUUUAUUUUUGGUUAAUUAUUUUUAGUUAAAUUGUUUAAUUAUUUAUUUUUAAUUUCAUUUUGAUAAAAAUCCCCCGUGUCUCGAAUUUAAAAAGAAUCAAAUUUUUUCCAAUCCCUGUGGAUUCGACCCUGCUUACUACUAUACACAGAAUAUUUAUUUUUCUUAAGCAGGUAUUUAUUAUUGCACAGGCACGACACCUGUCACAACAGGCGUGCCAAAAAAUUGACAGGUGUCGUGCCUGUGCAAUAAUAAAUACAUGCUUAAGAAAAAUAAAUUUUCUGUGUAUAGUAGUAAGCAGGGUCGAAUCCACAGGGACUGGAAAAAAUUUGAUUCUUUUUAAAUUCGAGACACGGGGGAUUUUUAUCAAAAUGAAAUUAAAAAUAAAUAAUUAAACAAUUUAACUAAAAAUAAUUAACCAAAAAUAAAUAAUUAAUUAAUACAAUUGUAAAUAGCAAUUAAAUAAAUGAUAAAUAAAUUCUAGCCAAGGAUACAACUACGCAGACACAGUCCAUUCAUCCGAUCAUUGAUGCAAAGAAGGUUCACUUAAUUUAAUUAAUAGGCUAGUUAUAGUCGCCGAUAAACUCUAACGACCAGCUUUUCCUUAAUUUAUUGAUAACCAAGGUACGACCAUUGAUUAACCCUAACCAGGAAAUACUCCUACGUACGACCGUAGGAAUUAAUUUCCUAAUUGCAUUAAAAACUAGAAAAGCCUAACCCAAAUUAAUAACAUGCUACGAGGGUUAUUUAAAUCAGAUUGCAUGUUCUCCUAGUAUGUAAAAAUACUAAUUGUCACUAAUAUUAACCAACUAAACAAUUACGGAUUUAAUUGAUUAAUUUGACAAGAGAUUAAUAAGUCAAAUUGCACAUCGGGCCCUUGAUAUCCAAUUAACAAAAUAAUCCCAUGAAAAUUCAAAUAGAAAACAUGCAAAUAUUAACAAAUUAAGGAACACGUAAAAUUAAUUAGAUCUCACAGAUAUAUGGGACUGCGUCGUCGCGUUGAUCCUUGACUAGAUGAGAAAAUUAGCCACGCCUCAUAAGAAAAUUCCCACGCAAUUUAAUUAAAUUCGAAGACAUAAAUAACUCUUGCUAGUAACUGAAAAUGAAAAUUUGAUUCUCCGUAAUCUAAUGCAAUAAAACUAGUUUCAUGGAAGAAACUAGUUGAAUGAAAGAGACCGAAGAAACAUAAAACAAACUUCUGGAGAAAACUUCACACCCAAAAUCCAACAAACCAAUCAAUUACCUAUUCUACCUACGGAUAUUCUUUGGAGAGAAAACUAAAACUCACUAGUCUAAUGUCUUCUGCCAUCGUCCGAUAUAUAUAAGGCAAGCCUUUAGUCUUCAUAGCUUUUUCAUAGUCUUUUCUCCUUGAGCCCAUUAAUCUAGUGCCUUCUUAUUUUAUUGGAGCACUAGUCUCUUAAGGGACUAGCUACGUAGGGAGCAAUUGGAAAAGUAAUCACCUGAUCAAAUGCCAGCCAUAGCUAAUCAAUUACAUCUCCCAAAAGAGGAACCAAAUGUCUAAAGCAAUUCCUCAACUUUCUACGUGGUCCCCGCUUUGAUUUCUUAUUGCUAGUGGAUUUCAUCAUAUCAAUUCAAUUCUUCAUCAGCAAUUCCGUUGGUUUGCACAAUUUGGGCUGAUUGUGGAAAGCUUUUAGAAGCUUUCACGUGUGGAGAAAUCUUCUCAAGAAUGUCCCCUUUUUAGCACUUUUCUGCUCCAUUUUCUGAAAUUAUAUCCAAAUACCAAAUAUAAAUAUAUAUUGACAAUUAAAACAAUAUUUGGCAAGAAUAAAGAGGAGAAUUAACGAUAAAAUUACUAACAAUUAAUACCCUAUCAAUUCCCCCCACACUUAAAUCAUGCUUGUCCUCAAGUAUAGGAACACUAAACUCAACAAUGGCUAACUCUCAUUUCAUUUACUGCCAAGCUAUGCUUAUCCCAAAAUCAAGUUUUAGUGGCUAAGUGUCAAGACAUAUUUCUCCCGAUUAGCUCCUGAAAUCAUAGACUCGUCCAAUUCAUGGCUAACUCGUCUAAGAAAUUAAAAUAUUAAACUAGCAAAAGUUAGCAAUUGGGUCAACUGAAAAUCAAAAUCUCAACAUUGAAGAACAAGGAUCGGCAGGCCAACAUGAUCAUAAGCUUACACAUUAUUUUCUUCUCUUUUUUUUUUCUUUUUUUUUUGAUAACAAUUAAAAAAAUUUUUUUUUUUCACAAUAAAUGCUCAGUCCCAAGCUAUUCAAGUCUUUUGACGUGAACUCUGACAUUUUUAGAUGAAAGAGCCCAGUUACUCAACUUUUCACAGCUUCAGGGCUAACUACUCAUAGAUAUCGCCACUUUUUGACGCGAAAGUCGACACUUGUGGUGAAGACUCCCGGUUAUUGGGUGACGGCACUAGCGGAGUAGAGUCAUUUAUUAAUCACAAUUAAAGUACCAGAAUACCAGAUAAUUAAAGAUCAUGGCCCACGUCAUCUCCUAAAAUGGAGAACUAAGAUCAACAAUUGCCCAAUUCACACAACAAUUGCUAGUAAAAUAUUUAUAUUGCCUAAACAAUUUAACCACAAUUUGCACCAAGUCAUUAAACUCAUAAUAUUCACCAAGAUAAUAUGCUUUUACUUGCCAUCUAAACAAAAUUCAUAGGAUAAAUCACAACCAGCAAUAGAAGAGUGAGUUGCCACAUUUAUUCAUCAAGACAACAAUAAGAAAAGCAACAAUUUAAAGAAACUCCAAUCAAAUCCAAAUCCCCCCCACACUUAAAGUAUACAUUGCCCUCAAUGUAACAAAUAUAUAGAAAAAGUAAGAAGAAGGGCAACGAAACUCCCCUGAAAUCGUCAAGCCAUCGGUGGAUUAGGCAGUAAUUGAGGUUCAACACCCACAUGGUGCAUAAAUGCUGCCAAAUUCUCUGAAGUUGUUGCCAGUCAUCAGCCCCUGGGGUUGAUCUGUGUCUCACCAUUUUCUCCAAAUAUCACUCCAAUCAACAAUAGACAACCAUUUCCAACAAAUUGUAAUAACAAUUGUAAUAAAUAUUGGGGUCUUUCGCUUAGUUAAUUUAAACAACAAAAUGCACACUUCAAUCACCCACAAGUUAUACAAAUACCCCAACACUUACAGUAAAUGCAAUCAAUAAGCACUUGUGGUUCCAAACUUAGCCAAAUGUAAAAACAAUGCACCUCAAAAUCACCCCAAUCAACGUAAUAAUUGAAAUGAAAAAGAUAAAAGACUCUCACACAAGGCAACUACUUCAAUAAGCAAAUUUAAGCAUUACAAGCACCUCCUAAUUUAACAAACAAUCUCAGCAAAUUACCCACACUCGAGAAACAACUCAAAUGACCAACCCAAAGCGCUGAUAAAUCCAAACACACCAAUCAAGAUCACAAAAUAGCAGAAAUUAAAAUAGGGCCAAGUGACAAGUAACUCUCAAAUCACCUCCAACAAUUCUCGAAUAAAUGAACUGGCAUAAGAGCCGUCAAAUUUUAUCCCCACAGAUGAAAGAAAAACCUCAAGUAGUCAAAAUCCAAUCAAUGCUCAACAAUGCAAUUAACACCCGCAAACAACCUCCAUACAGAGCAACAAUCAAACUCAACGAGAUAGAGAAAAUGAAGGCGCAAAUCCCAGGAAAUAAAGAUCCAGAAAAACACUAAUUCCAAUACCUCCACCUGCCGAAAUUGGACAGGUGGUAAGAAGAGGGAGGUGGUGGUGCAAUCUGUGUGUCGUGGCAGAGAAAAGAGGCUGGUGAGGCGGACGAGCUGGGGUCGAAGUCCGUGGGCUUCAGGUGGUAGGCAGCGGCAGACAGCAGCGACUAGAGGCGUCGUGCGUAGAGGUGGUUCGUGAUGGCGGCUGAAUUUGGCGGAGCUUGGGCAGGAGGUAGUGGCGCGGCUGCUUGGUGUUGUUGGUGGAGAAUGAAGGAAGAUCUCCACGUGGCUGUGGAGCUGGUUGUGGGUAGAGAGCUGGACUGCCGUGGGUUUCAGGCAGCAGUCGGCUGCAGCUAUGGAUAGGGAGGAGGAGCUGCGCACAGCUCUGGGGUGGCGGUGAUGGAAGAAGCAGCAGGCAGCGGCGGUGCUGCUCUGGGUUGCAGGGGGUCGACGGGAGCUGGUGGCGGAAAGAAAGCGAGAAAGUGCAGAGCUAGGUGGAGAGGGCUGAGACAGCGGCGGCUGCAUGCAGAGGUGGACGCUUCAGGAUGAGCUUGAGGGCGGCGGUUAUGGAUGGUUGGCGAGAGAGAGUGAAAGAGCAGAGGUAGGUGGCAGCCUGGACAGGGUGGAGGAGCUUGAUGGGUGGUGGACAGUGGUGGCGAUGGAGGUGAGGCGCACGAAGUGGAGAAUAGAGGUUGGCGGAGUGCGCGAGGAAGAAGAAAACACGGACAGCGGGAAGAAGAAGAAAGAAAAGAAGAAGAAAGAAAGAAAGAAAGGAAAGAAAGAAAAGAAAAGGAAAGAAAGAAAGAAAAAGAAAAGAAAGAAAAGAGAAAAAGAAAGGAAAAAAAUAGUUUUUGAUCUUACAGAUUUUUUUUUUUUAAAUUCAGAAUUGAAUUGCUGAAAAACUAAAACGAAUGUUAAGAAGGAAAAUAACAGCAUUUUGAUUUUAUUUUUUUGUUUUUUUGUUUUUUUUAGUUCGUCAAACAUGGCGUGGGCAUGCCAAGAUUCCACUUCCGAAUGUUGAGAUUUUACUAACAUGACGUGGGCAUGCCAUGUUUUAGAAACAUCCUCUGACCUUGAAGUUGGAACUUGUGAGAUUAAUGCGUGCCCUCUCCGCGCGGGCAUGCCAUGAUCACCUGUCCUGAUCAUAGUAGAGAAAAUAUCAAGUUUAAGCAAUACCCAGAUGAGAAACGACAUAUUUAACGAAUUGCAUAACAAAAAUCAACAAAAUCAAAAAUUGGGUUGCCUCCCAAAAGCGCCUUUCUUUAACGUCUUUGGCCAGACGUUAAACACAACUCUUCAAUUUGGGUGUAAUCCAAUUUUCCUUGUAAUCAGUAGUCCUCCUCCGGGAUCCAAAUAGCCAUUGAGUGCAAUCUUUUUCCUUAAUUUUCUUCUCUUUUUCACCUCAUGAAUUGCUUUCAUCCCAUGAUAUUUGUUCGCAGCAAUUUUGAAUUUAUCCCUAGAAGCAAACUCAGAAAAUUCUUGCACAGAGGGAUCAAUAGCAUGAAUUGCAAACACAGAGUGAGAGUGAACAGGAUGUUUCAUUGUAUCAAAAAUAUCAAAGUGGACCAUUUCUCCAUCAAAUUCCAUGGACAAAGUACCCUUAUGAACAUCAAUUUUUGUCUGGGUUGUGCUCAAAAACGGUCUACCUAAUAACAAAGGCGAGGGAUCGGAAGAGUGAUCAUCAUCCAUGUCAAGUACAUAAAAGUCAGCUGGGAAUACCAAAUCGUUAAUCUUGACCAACACAUUCUCGACCAACCCAUCAGGGUAUGCAUUUGUUCGGUCAGCUAAUUGGAUUACUAUCUCAGUUUCUUUUAAUGGACCUAAGUUCAGAGAAGCAUACAUAGAUUUAGGCAUUACGUUGAUCGAUGCUCCUAAGUCCAGCAUGGUAUUUCUAAUCAAAGUAUUACCUAUUCUACAUGGGACAGUAAACCUACCUGGAUCCCCGCACUUCGGUGGAAGCUUCCUUUGGAGAACUGCUGACACGUUCUCUCCCACAAUGACCCUUUCAUCUCCCCUCAACCGCCUUCGAUUGACACAUAGGUCCCUCAAAAAUUUUGCAUACUUCGGCACUUGUUUGAUGGCGUCUAAUAGGGGAAUAUUGAUUUGUAUCUUGCGGAAUACCUCCAGGAUCUCUUUUUCCUUGUCUUGUUUCUUUGGUUUCUCCAACCUGCUAGGAAAGGGAGGUGGAUUAGUUUUAGUUGUAGGAAUUGGGUUCGAGGGUACCUUUGCAUUUUUGUUGUCUCUGCCCUCCUCUUCCAAUUCUUUCUCAAUCCGUUCCUCGUCCUUGUCUUUAGGAAUCACCGGUUCGGGUCCUUGAACUUCCUUGCCACUCCUUAAGGUCAUUGCGCUUACAUUCUUUGGAUUCGCCUCGGGUUGAGAUGGCAACUUUCCUUGAACUUGGGACUCCAAACGGUUGAUUGUUAUAGCCAUUUGAUUCAUUUGAUUUUGCAAUGAUUGCACCUGUCCCAGUUGAUUUCUCAUGCUUUGCAGGUCUGAAUCCGUCUUUUGUUGAUUAGCAAGUAAUUGCUUCAUCAUCUCUUCCAUGGACGGACUUGAGUUUGAAGGGGGUAGUGGUGGUGGUGGCCGAGGAUGGUACUGUUGUUGGUGUCCUUGCUGUCUAUUUGGCACAAAGUUAGACUGCCUAUUUCCUCCAUAACUAAGGUUGGGGUGAUCCCUCCAACCAGGAUUGUAGGUGUUUGAGUACGGGUCGUACUGCUUUCUUGGCGCGGGCACGUGGCCAGCCAUGUUCACCUGUUCUGCAGUUUCUUCUUGAACCAGUGGACAUAUAUCCGUAGGAUGACCCACUGCAGUGCACACCCCACACACUUUGGCUUGUGAAGCACUCCCCACAGCUAAUUGUCUUACGAAAGAUGUUAAUUCGGAGAUCUGUUGUUGGAUAGAGGACGUUUCUACCUCAUUCACCCUACGCGUCGGGAUGUCCUCUCUUGAACCAAACUGCUGUGAGUUCUCAGCCAUCCCUUCAAUCAACUCCCAUACUCCUCGAGGAGUUUUGUUCACCAACGCCCCUCCACUUGCAGCAUCGAUUAUGCUUCUGUCCCUGAAAAGCAACCCUUCAUAGAAAUAUUGAAUGAGCAGUUGCUCACUUAUCUGAUGCUGAGGGCAUUUGGUGCAUAGUUUCUUAAACCUCUCCCAGUACUCAUAGAGUGACUCGCCUGGGUGUUGUUUGAUGCCACAUAUCUCCUUCCUUAGGCUUGCAGCUCGAGAUACCGGAAAGUACUUGUCCAAGAAUUUUUUCUUCAGUUGGUCCCACGUGGUGAUACUACCAGGCGGUAGGUAGUAGAGCCAGUCUUUCGCGGAGUCCUUCAAAGAGAAGGGGAAAGCCCUCAUCUUUAUUUGCUCUUCUGUAAUUUCCGGAGGCUUCAUACUGUUGCAAACGACGUCGAACUCUUGCAAGUGCUUGUAGGGCUCCUCACCUGGUAGACCAUGGAAAGAUGGCAAGAGAUGAAUUAGACCAAAUUUUAGUUCAAAGGAAGUGUCAUCAUUUAAAUUUGGAAAAGUAAUGCACAAGGGCUGCUGAUUUAAAUCAGGAGCAGCCAACUCCCUUAAUGUUCGUGCAUUUGCCAUAGUGACUUCCUCUUGGUCUGAAUCACUCGAAUUGUCACCAGACAAAUUUGUCGGCUCAACCUCUGGAUCAAGUCCCUGAGGUGCAAUACCGUAUUGCUCUUCUCUGAGUUGCCUGGUUUUUUUCCUCGUUCUACGCGCGGUCUUCUCUACUUCAGGGUCGAAAAUUAAUUUGCCUGUACGAGAAGAACGAGGCAUAAACUAGAAAAAAAAUACCAGAAAAUUAGAACAAAAAUGAACUUAAAAAGAAACAAAUAAUUAACGCCAGUCCCCGGCAACGGCGCCAAAAAUUGGCAGGUGUCGUGCCUGUGCAAUAAUAAAUACCUGUUUAAGAAAAAUAAAUUUUCUGUGUAUAGUAGUAAGCAGGGUCGAAUCCACAGGGACUGGAAAAAAUUUGAUUCUUUUUAAAUUCGAGACACGGGGGAUUUUUAUCAAAAUGAAAUUAAAAAUAAAUAAUUAAACAAUUUAACUAAAAAUAAUUAACCAAAAAUAAAUAAUUAAUUAAUACAAUUGUAAAUAGCAAUUAAAUAAAUGAUAAAUAAAUUCUAGCCAAGGAUACAACUACGCAGACACAGUCCAUUCAUCCGAUCAUUGAUGCAAAGAAGGUUCACUUAAUUUAAUUAAUAGGCUAGUUAUAGUCGCCGAUAAACUCUAACGACCAGCUUUUCCUUAAUUUAUUGAUAACCAAGGUACGACCAUUGAUUACCCCUAACCAGGAAAUACUCCUAGGUACGACCGUACGAAUUAAUUUCCUAAUUGCAUUAAAAACUAGAAAAGCCUAACCCAAAUUAAUAACACGCUACGAGGGUUAUUUAAAUCAGAUUGCAUGUUCCCCUAGUAUGUAAAAAUACUAAUUGUCACUAAUAUUAACCAACUAAACAAUUACGGAUUUAAUUGAUUAAUUUGACAAGAGAUUAAUAAGUCAAAUUGCACAUCGGGCCCUUGAUAUCCAAUUAACAAAAUAAUCCCAUGAAAAUUCAAAUAGAAAACAUGCAAAUAUUAACAAAUUAAGGAACACGUAAAAUUAAUUAGAUCUCACAGAUAUAUGGGACUGCGUCGUCGCGUUGAUCCUUGACUAGAUGAGAAAAUUAGCCACGCCUCAUAAGAAAAUUCCCACGCAAUUUAAUUAAAUUCGAAGACAUAAAUAACUCUUGCUAGUAACUGAAAAUGAAAAUUUGAUUCUACGUAAUCUAAUGCAAUAAAACUAGUUUCAUGGAAGAAACUAGUUGAAUGAAAGAGACCGAAGAAACAUAAAACAAACUUCUGGAGAAAACUUCACACCCAAAAUCCAACAAACCAAUCAAUUACCUAUUCUACCUACGGAGCUUCUUUGGAGAGAAAACUAAAACUCACUAGUCUAAUGUUUUCUGCCAUCGUCCAAUAUAUAUAAGGCAAGCCUUUAGUCUUCAUAGCUUUUUCAUAGUCUUUUCUCCUUGAGCCCAUUAAUCUAGUGCCUUCUUAUUUUAUUGGAGCACUAGUCUCUUAAGGGACUAGCUACGUAGGGAGCAAUUGGAAAAGUAAUCUCCUGAUCAAAUGCCAGCCAUAGCUAAUCAAUUACAUCUCCCAAAAGAGGAACCAAAUGUCUAAAGCAAUUCCUCAACUUUCUACGUGGUCCCCGCUUUGAUUUCUUAUUGCUAGUGGAUUUCAUCAUAUCAAUUCAAUUCUUCAUCAGCAAUUCCGUUGGUUUGCACAAUUUGGGCUGAUUGUGGAAAGCUUUUAGAAGCUUUCACGUGUGGAGAAAUCUUCUUAAGAAUGUCCCCUUUUUAGCACUUUUCUGCUCCAUUUUCUGAAAUUAUAUCCAAAUACCAAAUAAAAAUAUAUAUUGACAAUUAAAACAAUAUUUGGCAAGAAUAAAGAGGAGAAUUAACGAUAAAAUUACUAACAAUUAAUACCCUAUCAAUUCCCCCCACACUUAAAUCAUGCUUGUCCUCAAGUAUGGGAACACUAAACUCAACAAUGGCUAACUCUCAUUUCAUUUACUGCCAAGCUAUGCUUAUCCCAAAAUCAAGUUUUAAUGGCUAAGUGUCAAGACAUAUUUCUCCCGAUUAGCUCCUGAAAUCAUAGACUCGUCCAAUUCAUGGCUAACUCGUCUAAGAAAUUAAAAUAUUAAACUAGCAAAAGUUAGCAAUUUGGUCAACUGAAAAUCAAAAUCUCAACAUUGAAGAACAAGGAUCGGUUGGUGCAAAGAAGGUUCACUUAAUUUUAUUAACAGGUUAGUUAUAGUCGCCGAUAAACUCUAACGACCAGCUUUUCCUUAAUUUAUUGAUAACCAAGGUACGACCGUUGAUUACCUCUAACCAGGAAAUACUCCUAGGUACGACCGUAGGAAUUAAUUUCCUAAUUGCAUUAAAAACUAGAAAAGCCUAACCCAAAUUAAUAACACGCUACGAGGGUUAUUUAAAUCAGAUUGCAUGUUCCCCUAGUAUGUAAAAAUACUAAUUGUCACUAAUAUUAACCAACUAAACAAUUACGGAUUUAAUUGAUUAAUUUGACAAGAGAUUAAUAAGUCAAAUUGCACAUCGGACCCUUGAUAUCAAAUUAACAAAAUAAUCCCAUGGAAAUUAAAAUAGAAAACAUGCAAAUAUUAACAAAUUAAGGAACACGUAAAAUUAAUUAGAUCUCACAGAUAUUUGGGACUGCGUCUUCGCGUUGAUCCUUGACUAGAGGAGAAAAUUAGCCACGCCUCAUAAGAAAAUUCCCACGCAAUUUAAUUAAAUUCGAAGACAUAAAUAACUCUUGCUAGUAACUGAAAAUGAAAAUUUGAUUCUCCGUAAUCUAAUGAAAUAGAACUAGUUUCAUGAAAGAAACUAGUCUAAAGGAAGAGACGGAAGAAAAAUACAAAACAAAUCAACUGAAGAGAUCUUCACACCACACAAAACAUGAAAGAACAAAAUCCUAUUUUAUGACUAAAACUACCUAUCUUCCUCUCCGUAGAGAGAAACUAAUCUAAUGUCCUCUGCCGCUCCUCUUCCAAUUCUUUCUCAAUCCGUUCCUCGUCCUUGUCUUUAGGAAUCACCGGUUCGGGUCCUUGAACUUCCUUGCCACUCCUUAAGGUCAUUGCGCUUACAUUCUUUGGAUUCGCCUCGGGUUGAGAUGGCAACUUUCCUUGAACUUGGGACUCCAAACGGUUGAUUGUUAUAGCCAUUUGAUUCAUUUGAUUUUGCAAUGAUUGCACCUGUCCCAGUUGAUUUCUCAUGCUUUGCAGGUCUGAAUCCGUCUUUUGUUGAUUAGCAAGUAAUUGCUUCAUCAUCUCUUCCAUGGACGGACUUGAGUUUGAAGGGGGUGGUGGUGGUGGUGGCCGAGGAUGGUACUGUUGUUGGUGUCCUUGCUGUCUAUUUGGCACAAAGUUAGACUGCCUAUUUCCUCCAUAACUAAGAUUGGGGUGAUCCCUCCAACCAGGAUUGUAGGUGUUUGAAUACGGGUCGUACUGCUUUCUUGGCGCGGGCGCGUGGCCAGCCAUGUUCACCUGUUAUGCAGUUUCUUCUUGAACCAGUGGACACAUUUCCGUAGGAUGACCCACUGCAGUGCACACCCCACACACUUUGGCUUGUGAAGCACUCCCCACAGCUAAUUGUCUUACGGAAGAUGUUAAUUCGGAGAUCUGUUGUUGGAUAGAGGACGUUUCUACCUCAUUCACCCUACGCGUCGGGAUGUCCUCUCUUGAACCAAACUGCUGUGAGUUCUCAGCCAUCCCUUCAAUCAACUCCCAUGCUCCUCGAGGAGUUUUGUUCACCAACGCCCCUCCACUUGCAGCAUCGAUUAUGCUUCUGUCCCUGAAAAGCAACCCUUCAUAGAAAUAUUGAAUGAGCAGUUGCUCACUUAUCUGAUGCUGAGGGCAUUUGGUGCAUAGUUUCUUAAACCUCUCCCAGUACUCAUAGAGUGACUCGCCUGGGUGUUGUUUGAUGCCACAUAUCUCCUUCCUUAGGCUUGCAGCUCGAGAUGCCGGAAAGUAUUUGUCCAAGAAUUUUUUCUUCAGUUGGUCCCACGUGGUGAUACUACCAGGCGGUAGGUAGUAGAGCCAGUCUUUCGCGGAGUCCUUCAAAGAGAAGGGGAAAGCCCUCAUCUUUAUUUGCUCUUCAGUAAUUCCCGGAGGCUUCAUACUGUUGCAAACGACGUCAAACUCUUGCAAGUGCUUGUAGGGCUCCUCACCUGGUAAACCAUGAAAAGAUGGCAAGAGAUGAAUUAGACCAGAUUUUAGUUCAAAGGGAGUGUCAUCAUUUAAAUGUGGAAAAGUAAUGCACAAGGGCUGCUGAUUUAAAUCAGGAGCAGCCAACUCCCUUAGUGUUCGUGCAUUUGCCAUAGUGACUUCCUCUUGGUCUGAAUCACUUGAAUUGUCACCAGACAAAUUUGUCGGCUCAACCUCUGGAUCAAGUUCCUGAGGUGCAAUAUCGUAUUGCUCUUCCCUGAGCCGCCUGGUUUCUUUCCUCGUUCUACGCGCGGUCUUCUCUACUUCAGGGUCGAAAAUUAAUUCGCCUGUACGAGAAGAGCGAGGCAUAAACUAGAAAAAAAAUACCAGAAAAUUAGAACAAAAAUGAACUUAAAAAGAAACAAAUAAUUAACGCCAGUCCCCGGCAACGGCGCCAAAAAUUAACAGGUGUCGUGCCUGUGCAAUAAUAAAUACCUGCUUAAGAAAAAUAAAUUUUCUGUGUAUAGUAGUAAGCAGGGUCGAAUCCACAGGGACUGGGAAAAAUUUGAUUCUUUUUAAAUUCGAGACACAGGGGAUUUUUAUCAGAUAAAAAUAAAAAUAAAUAAUUAAACAAUUUAACUAAAAAUAAUUAAACAAUUUAACCAAAAAUAAAUAAUUAAUGAAUACAAUUGUAAAUAGCAAUUAAAUAAAUGAUAAAUAAAUUCUAGCCAAGGAUACGACUACGCAGACACAGUCCAUUCAUCCGAUCAUUGAUGCAAAGAAGGUUCACUUAAUUUAAUUAAUAGGCUAGUUAUAGUCGCCGAUAAGCUCUAACGACCAGGUUUUCCUUAAUUUAUUGAUAACCAAGGUACGACCAUUGAUUACCCCUAACCAGGAAAUACUCCUAGGUACGACCGUACGAAUUAAUUUCCUAAUUGCAUUAAAAACUAGAAAAGCCUAACCCAAAUUAAUAACACGCUACGAGGGUUAUUUAAAUCAGAUUGCAUGUUCCCCUAGUAUGUAAAAAUACUAAUUGUCACUAAUAUUAACCAACUAAACAAUUACGGAUUUAAUUGAUUAAUUUGACAAGAGAUUAAUAAGUCAAAUUGCACAUCGGGCGGAAGUAUCGAACCGAGAGAUCAAAUCAAUUCUAGAAAAGAUGGUCCGACCCGAUAGGAAGGAUUGGAGUGUGAGACUAGAGGAUGCACUAUGGGCAUAUAGGACGGCAUACAAGACACCCAUUGGCAUGUCCCCUUACCGAUUGGUAUUUGGAAAGCCAUGUCAUCUCCCGGUAGAGUUUGAGCAUAGAGCGUUUUGGGCGGUCAAGCAAUGCAAUAUGGAUAUCGAGGAGGGCGGAAUUCAAAGGAAGUUGCAAUUACAAGAGUUGGAAGAAAUCCGAAAUGAAGCAUACGAGAAUGCAAUGAUCUAUAAAGAGAAGAAUCGGAUCUUUCAUGACCAACAGAUCUCUAGGAAGACAUUCGUCUGCGGGCAAAAAGUUUUACUAUACCACUCCAAAUUGAAGUUAUUUCCAGGUAAGCUACGUUCUCGUUGGAUUGGUCCCUUUGUUGUAACUAAUGUCUUUGAUUAUGGUGCAGUGGAGAUCCAGAGUCUGAAGACGGAGAAGAAAUUUGUGGUGAAUGGUCAUCGUCUCAAGCCUUAUUAUGAUGAGGCUCCAGUUGAGCGAGUAGAGAUGACGCAUUUGGAGGACCCAAUUUGCUUGGUUUAAGCAAAUUAUGGGCUAUGUCUAGCCAAAGACAUUAAAGAAAGGCGCUAGUUUGGGAGGCAACCCAAAUAUUAGUUUUGUUAUUUCUAGUUGUUUUGUUCUUUCUAGUUGGUUCUUUUGCAUUGGGUCAUUUACUCGUUGGGUAGUAUCAGUACUCAUAUUUCCUUUACUGAAAUCAGGAAGUGAGAUCUUGGCGUGCCCACGCGGCGUUGUGUCUCCUGAGGUCAGUGGAUGUUUUAUAAUCUUGGCAUGCCCACGCGGUAUUUGACGACCCAAAAAAAAAAAAAAAACAAUAAGGACAAACUUUCUACGUGGUCCCCGUUAGAUAAUGAAAGAAAACAUCAUCCCAAUUAAUUCCAGCACAAUCAUCAAUUCCUCUGCAAUUAUCAAAACGGAGGAGUCCACUAUAAUCAUCAAUUCCAGUACAAAUACACCCGUGAAACCUAGCUUGUAUUUUCUUUAGAAACUUCCCACGUGUGGAGUAUUUGUUGUAAGAAAAUCUCUCUUUUCUGCUCUACUUCCUGAAAUUGAGUCCAGAUACCAAAUAUAAGUAUAUGUUAACAAUUAAAAUAAUAUUUGGCAUGGAAACAGGGAAAAAUUAACAAUAAAAUUGCUAACAAUUAAUACUCUGCGGACUCUAUAGCAGUUAAACGUGCCCACGCCAGGUGGUCAUGCCUAAGGGAAAGAAAAUUUCGUUCAGGUUCUGCGGACUCUAUAGCAGUUAGGCGUGCCCACGCCUAAGCCAGGGGUUCCUUGAGUUAAAAUAAAAAAAAAAAAUUUCAAAGGACCCGCAGCCCUACACUUUCUUUCUUUCUGUCUUUUUCUCCUUCUUUCUUCUUCCUUUUCUUUCUUUUUCUCCUACUUUUUCCUGCUGUCCGCCGCAGCACCUCGCCUCAGGUCCACCGCCUGCGCUCCACGCCAUUUCGCGCGCAAGCUCCGCCACCAACUCUCGCACGUCCUCUCCCUCCUCUGCGCCCAAGCUCAGCUCCAGCUCUCAGCAGCCCAGCUUGUGGAGCACAGCAAACCGAGCGCGCAGCUCCACCAGUUGCGAGCAAUCUUCAAGCCCGCCGCACGCAGCAGGCGGCCAGAGCACCAGCGACCAGCAGCCCAGGCGCGCGCUCAACCAGGGGCGCAGCAGUGCGCUUUUCGUCUCCGCGCAGUCAAGCCCAGGCGCGAGGGACCCAGCGGCGAGCGACCCCAAGGCGCCUGCCCAAGCGCGUGCGACGCACGCGCGACGCCUUCCUUCACUCCAAUGCCCGCCCCUGCUCUCUUCGCUGUCAUCCACUGCCUACUCCAAACCUCUGGUGAAUUCUUUCUUUAUUUUUCAGUCAAUAAGUAGCUGAGGCCAGAUUACUAGUUCUUUAUUAACUGAUGCCAGAUUUUAAUUUCUUAGCUGAGGCCAGAUUUUUGAUUUGCUAGUUGAGGACAGAAAAUUUGUGCUUGUUUGGGUGCUGUGGCAUAUCUGUGGAUUGAUUGUUGAUUAUUUGGUUAACGUUGUGCCCAACCAGUGAUAUUUGGGGAAAGUUUUUACUCUAGUUGUCUGUUUAAUUAAUUCUUGGGGGUGUGUUCAUCGGCCGUUUCUGCACUUGUCUGUGAUUGGAAGCUGUAUUUAGUUGUCAUUUGCUUUGUUGGCUGUUUGUUGACCUCUUUGGAAUCCCAUUUCCUUGCCUCCACCUUGCCCUCUGAUUUCCAAUGACUAAACCAAAAAAAUAAGGGCAAGAACAAAUGGACACUCGAAUGGAUCGGAUGGAGCGUCAAAUGGGUGGGAUGGCCCAGAAUUUAGCACAGUAUUUCCAUCACGUGGGUUUCCGCCCGCCUUUCCCUCCACAGCCGUAGUUCAGUUCUGCCCUCCUCCGUUUUAAGGGAAGUUUCGUUGCUCCAAUAUCUCUGUUUUGCUCUUUCUUUGCUUACAUUGAGGGCAAUGCAAGAUUUAGGUGUGAGGGGAAGUAGUAUAUUGGCAUUUUAUUGAAAAGUGCAAGUGUAGGCAUUUUUGUUGGAAUUUUUGUUUGACUUUGUCGAAUUUUGUCCAAUUUUUGCCUAUCUUUGUGCUUAUUUGUGAUUAUUCCUGAUAAACGAUGGUUAGAUGUCUCAAAUUUUCCUAUUGCUAAAAUUUUACACUUUAAGGUGUUGAGUAUGACAUGGUUGAUUUUAAGGGUAUCUCUUUGGUGAAUAUUUGAGGUUUUGUGACUUUUGCACUUUUUGGUUAACUUUUCUAAGUAUUGUAAAUAUUUGUCUAGCAUUUUUUGUGCAAAUUGGUUCAGCUAUUAAUCUUAGUUCUCCAUGUUUGAGAAAUGAAGCGGGUUUGUGUGGUAUUUAAUUUUGUUUUUGGUGCUUAUUUAUGAAUAGUAUUAGGCUAUACUCCGCUAGUAUCAUUGCCUAGUAACCGGGAGUCUUCACCACAAAUGUCGACUUUCGCGUCAAAACGCGAUGAUAGCUAUGAGUAUGUGGUUUUUAAGCGAUGAUGGCUGAGUAACCGGGCUCCUUCAUAUGGCCAAUGUCGGAGUUCGUGUCAAAACGCUUGAAUGGCUAAAAACUAAGCGUUCCCCCUAAAAAAUAUCAUCAUUCAUGUGUGGGGAUAUUCUAGAAAAAAAUAUGUGCUAAUAGUGAAAAAUAUGGAAGUGUGUGAAUGAGUUGUUAGCCCGCUGAUUCAUGAAUUUUAAUAUUGAGAUUUUGCUUAAUAGUCGAACCAUUUGCUUAUGGAUGCUGGUUAAGUAUUUUAUAUUCUUAGAUUAGUUAGUCAUAAAUUGAAAGAGUCCUUGAUCUUGAAAGCUAAUUGGAGGGAUAUUCCUUGCAAAUUGCCACUAAUACUUGACAUGUAUUUUAAUUGUAUUUUGGCAAUAGACGAUUUGAGCAAUACCCAUUGUUUGAAUUCGAUUGCUUGAUUUGUUGUUCUCAUGCUUGAGGACAAGCAUGGUUUAGGUGUGGGGGAAAUUGAUAAGUUGUAUUUUUGCGAUUAAUUCUAUGAUUAUUUUCCUCUUUUAUUAUACCAAAUAUUGCGUUAAUUGAUGGAUUCUACUUAUAUUUGGUUAAUGGUGCUAAAUUGUAGGAAAAAGAGCAAAACGUGACAAAAAGGGGCAAUCUUCCAAUUAAUUUGAUGGUGGCACAUUCGGGAUCGAUUUCCAAGUUCGAUUCAAACUCUGGGCAGCUUUAGAGGAAGAUUUGGAAGACUUGAAUUCUAAUUACUAGUCUUAUUGUUGAAUUAGGAAACUUGAAAUACUUUCUUUUGUGGUUUAUUUUGCUAUUUAGGAAACUAGUUCUAUUAGGUAGUAUUUUUCCAUUAGGAAACAAAGAAGAGAAAGAGCCGGAUCCCGCGUGAUAAAAACUUCAACUAGCAACAAAUUCGGAUCUUCUUUUGACGGCAGAAAUAAAAGAGGACAAUUGCUUUGUUCUUAUUACUUUUUUUUUCCUGGGCUAGUUGGCCGAUUUUGGCCAGGAACAAUCUUGUAAACUUCAAAUAGCUCUUUUGCACAGCUGGAGAACUAGCUUCUCAAUUCUAGUCAAGGGGACAACUGAAGAUAUGGUUCAACAAUUACUGUGAGAUUUAAUUUAUUUUAAUUGUUUCCUUCAUUUAUUGGUAUUCAUAUGUUUCCUGCUUUUAACCGUUAUAGUUCGUGUGGAUGAUUGAUUAGUGCGCAAUAUUUAAUUAUUCACAUAGGCUAAUUUGCUAAGUAGGGGUAAUUGAAUCCGUAAUUGUUCGUUACCUCUAUCCCGGUAGCAACUGGCGUAAUUGGGUUUAUGUCAGGAAAACAUACGAUCUAACUUAAACAAACCCUCGUAGCGUGUUUGUUAGUUAGGAUUGGGCCUUUCUAAUUAUUAAUGCAAUCUAGAAAUUAAAUCCUACGGUCGUACCUAAGAUUGUUUUUGGGUUAGAGAAAUAGUUAACGGUCGUUCCUUGACUAUCGAUAAAUUAAGGAAAGGUUGGUUGUUUAUCGCGUGUAUGACAACUAUAACUGAUCUAUUAAUAAAUGUUGGGAUUAUUUCUGCAUCAAUGAUCAGUGCAUGAACCAUUUCUGAUGUGUACCCUUGGCUAGAGUUUUCCCUUAAUUAUUUCUUUGAAUUAAUUAUUUUCUGCAGUUAAUUUAUUUAGUUAGCAUUUAAUCCAAAACCCCCCAUACUUUGGACUCUAGAAGAAACGAGUUAUCCCCAGUCCCUGUGGAUUCGACCCUACUCACCGCUAUAUACAAAAUCUGUAUUUUUCUCGAGUAGGUUUUUAUUAUUGCACAGGUAUUUUUAUUAUUGCUCAUAAGGAGGAGCCACCAUUGAGGGAGGCAUUUCCAGAGGAACAACUACUUGUUGUGAACGCGUCUGUAUCCUGGUAUGCCGAUUUAGUAAAUUUCUUAGUGACUAAUCAAUUGCCUGCAGGGUGGCCAAAGGCUAAGAGAGAUAAGUUGAAAAGUGAUGCUAAAUAUUACAUUUGGGACGACCCGUACCUUUGGAGACAAUGUUCGGAUCAAGUGCUCAGGAGGUGUGUAAGUGCAGGUGAAUUUCACUCCAUUUUAAAUUUCUGUCAUUCGUUUGCAUGUGAAGGGCAUUUUGGCCCCAAACGAACAGCUCGCAAGGUGUUAGAGAGUGGUUUUUAUUGGCCUACCCCGUUCAAAGAUGCUUAUUUAUUCUGUAAAUCCUGUGAUAGGUGUCAAAGGGUGGGGAAUAUUUUUCGUAGGGACCAAAUGCUUCAAACUCCCAUGUUGUUUGUUGAAAUUUUUGAUGUUUGGAGAAUAGAUUUUAUGGGUCCUUUUCCCUCAUCUUUUGGUUUCCUGUACAUUUUACUUGCUGUAGAUUAUGUCUCUAAAUGGGUGGAAGCCAAAGCCACCCGUACUAAUGAUUCUAGAGUGGUCGCAGAGUUUUUAAAGUCGAAUAUUUUUGUCCGCUUUGGAAUGCCAAGAGCUGUGGUUAGUGAUAGAGGGACACAUUUCUGCAACAAGACUAUCACGGCCUUGUUUCGAAAAUACGGUGUACUGCACAAGAUAUCCACACCGUAUCACCCGCAGGCGAACGGUCAGGCCGAAGUGUCGAACAGGGAAGUCAAGUCGAUCUUGGAGAAGAUGGUGCGUCCGGAUAGGAAGGAUUGGAGUUUAAAGCUAGAAAACGCACUAUGGGCGUAUAGAACCGCGUAUAAGACGCCAAUUGGGAUGUCUCUUUAUAGACUUGUUUUCGGUAAGACUUGCCAUCUCCCCGAGGAGUUCGAACACAAGGCGUUUUGGGCAGUGAAGCAGUGUAACAUGGGAUUAGAUGAAGCAGGGGUCCAAAGGAAAUUGCAGCUACAAGAGUUAGAGGAAAUAAGAAAUGAAGCGUAUGAGAAUGCCACGAUCUAUAAAGAAAAGAGUAAAAUCUUUCAUGAUCAGCAGGUUUCUAGGAAAACUUUUGUAGUGGGGCAAAAGGUCCUCUUGUAUCACUCAAGGCUUAAACUUUUUCCCGGUAAGUUGCGUUCUCGUUGGAUUGGUCCAUUUGUCGUUUCUAAUAUGUUCCAUUAUGGUGCAGUGGAGAUCCAAAGUUUAAAAACGGAGAAAAAGUUCGUGGUGAAUGGCCAUCGUCUCAAACCUUAUUAUGAGGGUUUCUAUGUUGAAGAAAUAGAAGUUGAACACCUCCAAGAUCCACUUUAUCAUGCUUGAGGGUUCUGGCCAUGUCUAGCCAAAGACAGUAAAGAAAGGCGCUACUUGGGAGGCAACCCAAAACUAUUUAUUUUAGUUUUCAUGCAUUUUUGAAGUUUUAGUUAUGUAUUAGUGUCAAUUGAUGGUUUGAUGUUUUGUGGCAGGAGAUUAGUGGUUAGGCGUGCCCACGCCAGGUGGUCACGCCUGAGGAAAAGGAAUUUUCGGUCAGGUUCUGCGAACUCCAUAGUAGUUAGACGUGCCCACGCCAGGUGGUCACGCCUGAGGAAAAGGAAUUUUCGGUCAGGUUCUGCGAACUCCAUAGUAGUUAGACGUGCCCACGCCAGGUGGUCACGCCUGACGGAGGAAAUUUUCGAUCAGGUUCUGCAGACUUUAUAGCAGUUAGACGUGCCCACGCCAGGUGGUCACGUUCGAGGGGAAGAAAUUUUCGAUCAGGUUCUGCAGACUCUAUGGCAGUUGAACGUGUCCACGCUAGGGGGUUACGUUAAAAAAAAAAAAAAAAAACUUCCGUAGCCCUACUUCUUCUUUUCUUCCUUUUUUCUUUCUUUUUUCUUUCUUCUUCCUUUUCUUUCUUUUUUUCUUCUUCUUUUUCUUCCUUCUUUUCUCCUUGUCCGCCGCCGCCGCGCCGCCAUCGCGCCUGCCGCCAAGCGCAGCACCCAGCGCGCCUGCACCACCUGCGCGCCGCCAACACCAUCGCGUCUCGCCGAGCGCCAGCAGCAGCAGCUAGGCGCGCAGCUUUUGCGCGCCGCCGUGCGCGCAGACCACCAGUCGCGCGCCUCCAUCUGCGAGACUCAGCUACAGCAACGCCACAGCUUUCCCCCUUUGCGCGACCUCCACCCCGCAGCAGCAGCAGCAGACCAGGCCAGGCCCAGCAGCAAGCACACAGCAUCGAGCGCGCAGUCGGACCCAAGCUCUGUAUGCGCGCGCAGACCGCGCGCGCCUGCCCUCGCAAGCAGCCAGCCCACGCGAGCCAGCCCAGCCCAGCCCGCUGCCUACUCCAACACCUCUGGUGAUGUCUUCCUUUAAUUUUCUGUUAUCAAGUAGCUGAGGCCAGAUUACUAUUUUGUUAUUAGCUGAUGCCAGAAUUUUAAUUUCUUAGCUGAGACCAGAUUUCUUUUAAUUUGUUAGCUGAGGACAGAGAUUUUGUGCUAUUUGGGUGUUGUGAUAUAUCUGGGGUUGAUUAUGGUCUAUUUGUGAAAUUUUGUGCUCAACCGGAGAUAUUUUGGAAAAGUUUUUACUAUGGUUGCUUAUUUCAUUAGUUUUUGGGGGAAUUUUGCUGCGUUUGUCUAAUUAAGUGAUUUUUGGGUUGACUUGGUAAUGUUUGGGGAGUAGUCUGCUGUUCACAUGUUUAAUUAGUUUUUGGGUGCAGUUUUUAUUGUUUAUCUACCUGAUUGAUUUUUGGGCUGUUUGGUUGCUAUUUGUUCAAUUGUUGGUGCUUGGAGCUGUUUUCAGGGACCCUUUGCUUUGUUGAUUAACCACCGCUCCAUUCUACCCAAUUUCACCGUGUCCGUGCCCUCUUUUCCAAUCCCCAAUGACCAAACCCAAAACUAAAGGCAAGAACAAGCCUUCCACUUCCACCCCUCAGCCUACGGUCCCCUUAGAAGGACCUGCCCCAUCGACUGGGCCGGGAGGACCCCGGACCCGUCUUAGACGGAACAGGGAGGUUCAUAUCACCUCUCCGGCCCACUUUGGCGGCAAUUUGACCUUCACCCGGGCUGCCGACAAGGAGCGGUAUGCCUCAGCUUGUACAAGGAAGAUAAUUCCUUGUAAAUACAUCCAUGACCCUACACUUGAUUUGCUAAACCUGAGGGACGAGGUCACGCAGCACUUGACUAAUGUAGGUUGGACCCGCUAUCCUUCUAUCAAUCUACCUGCUUUUACUGAACUCACGUGGAAAUUCUAUGCUACCUUUGAAUUUAAUAUCCCUGAUGAAUUCUCCGUUACCACUCCUGGGGUUGUGAGGUUUCGAUUAAUGGGUAGAGAGUUCAACCAAUCUAUCACUGAGUUUAAUUUUUUUCUUGGGUUUAUUGAUAUUCCUUACUCUCAGAGUGAGGAGUAUAUGCACAAUGCGUGCGAAUACACGGAGCCAUUUUUCUCUCAUUACCUUGAUUAUUGGAGUGGUUUGUCAGUUGACCAACAAUGCUAUGACCCCAGUCAGUCUAAGGCUUCUUAUCUUAAGAGCGCCGCCUACCGCUAUUUACAUAGAUUCAUGGCCUAUAGUUUCUCAGGUAGGAAGGAUAGCUCGGGUACUCUGACUAAACCCGAGUUCUUUUUCGUUUGGUGCAUGGUCACUCGGACUAGGGUCAAUUUGGGUAGCUGGUUUGCCCUCCACCUCCGAACUGUGCUAAGUAAGAAAAAUAAGCCAUUAAUCUUAGGCUCCUUUAUCACUCAGUUAGUUGUAAACCUUGGGGUUUUGGACUUGAAUAAUCAUAACUUACAUCGUGCUUGUAUUAUGGAGCCCCUUGAUUUGGUUUGUUUAGAGAAAAUGGGUCUUGUGAGACAGGUGAAUGGCGUUUUCCAGUUUGCUCUCCCGGGGCCAAUCUCCGUUCCUCCGAAGCGCAAAGCUUCUAAAUCCACUGCCCCGGAGGCUGGUGGUCCGUCCACGGAUGCCCCCGGCCCAUCCUUUUCGGCCCCUCCGCCAUCUUCCUCCGUAGAUAGCCAGCUAGCGGCCCUCCGGUUCCAGAUGCAGCACAUGGACACUCGUAUGGAUCGGAUGGAGCGUCAAAUGGGCGGGAUGGCCCAGAAUAUAGCGCAGUAUCUCCAUCACGUGGGCUUCCGCCCGCCUUUUCCCCCACAACCAUGAUUCAUUUCUGCCCUCCUCCGUUUUCCAGGGAAGUGUCGUUGCCCGGUACCUUUGUUUUGAUCUUUCUUUGCUUACAUUGAGGGCAACGUAAGGUCUAGGUGUGGGGGAGGGUUAACUAUGCUUUGGUUGUGUUUUUAGUUGUCUGAUUAAAUUUUUCCCUUGCCUUAGUAGUUCAUUUCUUUAAACUGUGAUGAAUGCAAUUGAGAUAUGAGUGUACGUAGCAAAUUCAUGCCAUGGGGUGUUCUAUUUUCCUCGAUGAUGAAUUGAUUGAUGAAUAUGCUGAACUUGACAUAAAUUUGACCACUCGUGCGACUUUUGAGCCUACUUUUUCAUUUUUUUGAGUGGUUAGUGCACAUGGUUUGUCAUUCUAGAACUUGCUCGGUUAUGCAUAUCAAGACCACAUUUAAAUGAGUUUAAUGCAUUGAAAUGAUAUGGCACCUAGGAAUGAGCCACUUUUGGACCUUCUCAAAACCAGCCCUUGGAUUAUUUACUACAAUUAGGGAGCCACGUUGAGCCUUAACCCCUAUUCUUUGCUUGAGACCCCAGCUCUUAGCCGUGAAAUCUCUUUUUAGACUUUCUUUUUGAACCUCGUGUGAAGAAGUGCUUUGAUUUCAUUAUACAGACUUUUGGAGUAUUAUUCGAAGGGCAUUACACCCAUUUUCCAAAAAAAAAAAAAAAAAGAGAGAAAAAAAAGAAAGAAAAAAAAGGGAUGUGAAAAGAAGACAUAGUGCAGGAAACCAGCAAGUAAAGUUGACUUUUAGGGUGCUGGUUGGGAGUAUUGAAAAAAAAGCAAAAAAAAAAAGGGGGAAGGAAAAAAAAAAGAGAAAAAAAACGAGAGGGGGAGUAGAUGAAUGAAAGAGGAGAAAAGGCGAAGGUUGUGGCAGGUGCUAAUUCACUGUAUUUGUGUGGUGGUUGAGAUGCCUUUAAAUUUCAAAUGUACAAGAAUCUAGGUAAUGAAUUUCUGGGCAUUUUCUUUAUACUUUUGCACCCUUUUGACUUCUUUUUAUCCUACCUUCUCACCCUAGCCCCAUUACAACCUUGCACAGUCCCUUGAUUGCUGCAUUUAAAUUCAUAAGUAAGUGGUGGAGAUAUGAUAUAUGAGCAAACUUAUGGUAGUGUCAUUCUAUUGUGCUGAUUUAAGAGCCAUCUUAUAUACAUUUCAUAUACACUUUGGAGUGAAUGAGUGCAUUUUGGACUGUGAGCAUUGUUGAUUUGGUAUAUUCUGAUUUCGAUGAGGUUAUUGGGGAAUUUGGGAUGCCGUUUUUGGUAUGAACUGCUGUGAUUAGCUUCGUAUCUUGAUUGUACUUCUGAGUUAAUUAUGCUUGAGGGCAAGCAUAGUUCAGGUGUGGGGGAGAUUGAUAGGUUGCAUUUUAGUGGGGUACUUUGGGCAUUAUUACACAAUUAAUUGACUAAAUAUUUUCGUUAAUUGGGUGGAUUCUACUGAUAUUUUGUUUUGGUGCUAAUUGCAGGAAUGGUUGCUGAAAAGUGCUUAAAUUCAACUUUUAGAAGAUUCAUCGGACGUGGGGCCCGUUUGAGAAGCUGAAGAAACCUAAUUGUAAUAGAUUUUAUUUUAAUAUAUUUUAGGGAGUCUGGUUGCAAAUUUGGAGAAGUAACAAUUUUUCGGCUAUUGUGGGGAUUGUAUUUUAUCUCUCGCGCGGCUUAGGUUAAGGAGGGUUUUUUUCUUUGUUUUUGGAUGACACGGGAGAACCGCAGCUUUGCAGGAGAAACGGCAGAGACAGAGGGCCACCAUUCUUGACUUCUGUACUUUCUCUUUUCCAUCUUGUGUGGACUUUGAAAACUCAGGAUUUGGUUGACUGAAAUUGGGAAAUCAAUGAAUUGAGGAACCUCUUUUCUCUCGUGUAUCUUACUCAGCAAAUAGGAAAAGAAAAUAAGGGCCGCAAUUGUUGACUAUUAGCUUUGCUUUCCAAUUGGUUUUGACCGGCAUUGAAGUAGGGCCUCAGACCCUCGUUUGCGUUGUUCUUUUUGGAGACAAUUGGAGGCGAUAAAAUCUUGUGUUUCUUCCUCCUGGGGUUGACCGGAGUGGGAGAACCGACUUGCGUACCUUUCCCCCUCCCACACGCGCGGUUUGUCCUUCAUUAAUGGCGGGCUAAUUCGCUAAUUCUAGACGAGGGGGCAACUGAUGAAUUGGUUCAACUAAUACUGUGAGAUCUAAACCAUUGUUGAUUGCUCUCUUCAUUUAUUGAUAUUUACAUGUUCCUUGCUUUCAAUCGCUAUAGCUUUGUGUAUGAUUGGUUAGUGCGCAAUAAUUAAUUGUUCACAUAGGCUAUUUUGCUAUAUAGGGGUAAUUGAAUCCGUAAUUGUUCGUUAUCUCUAUCCCAGUAGCAACUGGCAUAAUUGGAUUUGUGUCAGGGGAAUAUUUGAUCUGGCUUAAAUAAACCCUCGUAGCGUGUUUGUUAGUUAGGAUUGGGCCUUUCUAAUUAUUAAUGCAACCUAGAAAUUAAAUCCUACGGUCGUACCUAGGAUUGUUUUUGGGUUAGAGAAAUAGCUAACGGUCGUACCUUAGCUAUCGAUAAAUUAAGGAAGGGUUGGUUGUUUAUCGAGUGCAUGACAACUAUAACCAAGCUAUUAAUAAAUGUUGGGAUAAUUUUUGCAUCAAUGAUCAGUGCAUGAACCAUUUAUGAAGUGCACCCUUGGCUAGAGUUUCUCUUAGUUAUUUCUUUUAAUUAAUAAUUUUCUGCAUUUAAUUUUUUUUAGUUGGCAUUUGAUACCAAAACCCCCCAUUAAUCCUGAUUUGAAAAGAAACAAAUUUCUCUCCAGUCCCUGAGGAGACGACCCUGCUUACCACUGUCUACUAGUUAGGGAAUUCAGUUAAAUAAUUAAUUCAGGUAUAUCGGAUUAAGCAAACUCUUCGGGAACAGGGUGAAUCAAGUAACCCAUUGCACACCUAGAGUCCCUGCUCCAGUACUCGAAUUGAUUACUGACUGUUUCAGGUGGUAGUUAGGAUUUAUUUAUUAUUAUUGCACAGGUUCGGCACCUGUCACCAAAUUUGGAUCCAACCAAAAAAAAGGAAAAACAAGUGCAGUAAAGCUCUUUAUCAUAUUCUAAUCAAAGCGUCAAACAGAGCUAAAUUACAGAGAAACUUCAAAAAUGAAAGAGAAAAAAAGAUACAAGCUUUUUUGUUUUUUAAAUAUAGAUAAAAACCCAUAUGAACUGAAGAAACUCUACUCAGGAUUGGGAUUUUACUCCUCCUCACCAUUUCCUCAAAAGCUAAGCUGAAAAUUCUCCCUUUCUUUUUCGCCAACUACUUUUCCGUCAAAAGACAACGCGAAAUUGAGGGGCGUCGGAGCCUUGAGCCGGCAGAAUCUCCGAGCGGCAAGGUUCGAGCUCGUCGGAAACAGAUCAGAAGCUUUUUUACUUUACAUAUUAGGUGACUCCGUUACGAAAUGAUCAUUUUCGUCACUUUGAUACUUUAAUCCAAAUUAUAAAGGAGUUAUGUAUAGGUUUUAAAAUUAUACGGGGAUUAUGUAAAAAAUACUAAACCACGGGAGAGUAACGUCAAAUUUGCCCUUAGAUUUUCAAUGUUAUUUCCAUGUAUAAUAAACCAAGGAAAAUCUAAUGCAUCUUUUAUUUUUCUCUAUCUGGUUUGGAAAAAUGCAUCUAGAAAGCUACAUAUUUUUGGAUUGAGGAAUAAGCACCAUGAUUUUGUGGCAAGUUAUUCAUGUAGUAUGAUGGAUGGAUUUGCAUUUUGGCCUUCAACUCUUUGGUGAGCUACAUCUGCUAUAUUUAUAGUUGGCAAACAAAUCCAUUUUAUUAAAUUUAUCCUAUUUUUAUGCUCCUAAAAAAUUGGCAAAUCUAGAGAAACUUUUAGAAAUAAAUCAAAAUUGGGAUCAGACCCUUUUGUUAUCUAAAAUUGAAGAGUGAAAAGAAGACUGUCAUUCUCAAAUUUCGCACAAUGCUAUAUGCAUUGCAAUCUUUAUGUAGACCUAUGGGCAAAUUGAUUCCUGUACUUAGUUAUCAUUGAGCUCAUGAUCUCACAAGCGCUUAUUUGGGGAGGUAGGUAAGAAUGCUUCAUUUCCUGAAGUUAAAAUUAAAGAAAAACAGUUUAAAAAAAUACAUUAACAAAGAGAAAGGAAAGCCACAGGAUGCUACUAGUGCUAGGCAAGGAUUGUUUUCUUCUUCUUCCUUCCCCAUAGCCAGCAGUUUCUCCAUUUCCCAUCACCGGCAUAGAAACGAAUGACAAUUUCAGGUAUGUGUGCUAUUUUUCUGUAAUCUUCAGUGUCUUCCUCCUGAUUCUCGACCUUUUCCAUCAGUUGAGAACUCAUCUCAUACAAAUAAAGCUCUUGAAGAUGGCUCAAGUGCUGAAUUCCCGAAGGUAAGUCCUCUAGUGAUGGAAGUCGAUGAAGAAUUAGUCUUUGGAGAUGAGGGCAUGCACCCUCCUCCACUGCCAUCCAUCUCAACCCUUCCAUUUUCUUUAACCACAACCAUUUCAGCUUUAGGAACCCUCCAGCCUUGAAACAUAACCCUUCUCCUUGGUAACAUCCACAGAAAUUAAUUGCAUCCAAAUUGGGCAAAUGUUGGAGGGAUUUAAGCGGAUCCUCAUCUGCCCUUAACCUACUCCAGCUCAAAUUUAUUUUUACCAAGUUUUGAAGAUGAGUGAUCCAUACUGGCAUCGUUUCUAAGCGGCCACGCACUAGUAGCAAACGAAGAGAUUGAAGAAACGAACAAGAAGAAGAAGAAGAAAGAGAAUGUUGAUGAUGAUUUAGAUCUAUUAUCUCAAAAUCAUAACCUUUUCCAACUGAAGCAAUCCCUAAUUGCUGAAGGCUGGUGAGGUUGACAAGGGAGGAGCAGAGCUCCUUUCCAUCUUCUCUUCUCAACUGUGUAAUAUAUAACACUCUUAAUUGGGUCAAUUUUCCUAUCUCUUUAACUAUUACAGACCCACUACUUGCAUCUAUGGUGUUUAACCUUUGUAGAGCGAGAAGCCCUCCCAAUUUUGACGGACCUUUAAACCCAUGAUAUCCAAAAUCACUAUCUGAGGGAUCAACUUGUUGAGAUACUCUGAGAUGCCGAAGCUUUAGCAGCUUUAGGAUUUCCACGGGUAAUUCCCUAACUCCAGUGUUCCCCAAAUUCAGAUAUUCCAAAUGUUGAAGCUUUCCAAUUGCUCUCGAGACUCUUGCCACUUUUGUACCAUAUAGGCUCAGAUACGUGAGAUGCAACAAGCUGAAAAUCUCAUUUGGUGUUUCCUCUAUCUCUUCACCUCUCAAAUCCAAAACCUUUAGCAACUUACUGCUCCUUAGAACUUCAGAUAGGAAAGUUUUGGACAGUAAUGGGUUGGUGAAACUAACUGCGAUGAAUGAUCGAAGGUGUUCAAAGGAAUAAAAUUGUCUUUGUUGGUGGUAUUGGAUGUUGCUGCUGUUACUACUACUAUGGACUACUAGACGGCGUACCUUCUCAGAUGGCCACGUCAUUGGUUGUCCAGUAGUAACUGUCACCAUGUUUUGUUCCCUUGACUUGAUGAGAAUAACUUCUCUCAAUAGGUCAUGGAUUUGACACUUGUCGGGCAAUCCUUCAUAAAACACUUCAGCUACUUGAAUUAGGCUUCUGCUAAUGAGUUCACUGAAAUAACCCCAGGCUACAUCUUCAAUACUCAUUCCUUCUCUCCAUUCUACAAAUCUUUCAGAAAUCCAUAAUUGAUUCAGUGUUCUGCUAUCUAUUAGAUAAUCCUCCGGAUAAAUGCUUAAAUACAACAGACAGGGUUUGAGAUGCGAAGGCAGAUCGUUGUAACUCAGAGAAAGUAUUCUUUUAACUCUCUCUAAUUUACCGGUGCCUUCUAAUUCACCCCCAAGACUGUGUUGAAUCAUCUCCCAUUCAUCUAUUCUGCUCACGUCCUUCGAAGCCAAGAGCCCACCGAUCGCAACAAUCGCCAAAGGCAAACCGUCACAUUUAUCCAAUACAGCUUUUGCAACAUCCAUCAGGUGGGCGGGGCAACGAUUUCCUUUAAAGAUCUUGCUACAAAAUAGGGUCCACGAAUCUUCAAUUGAUAGUGGCUCCUUUUUGUAGACAUAAUCCUGAGAUUCUAUGCAAGAGGCAGAGGCUACAUCGGCAUUUCGUGUUGUCAGCAUGACGCGAUUGCCGUAGUUACCCUCAGGCAGUGCAAAUUUGAUUGCAUUCCAAAAUUCCACGUUCCACACGUCAUCGAACACAAUUGCAUACCUUCCAGCUGCUUGAAGAAAAUCUUUGACAAAUUCUUUCAACUCAAUGGUAGAUAUAGAUUCGAUGAAUUGUGGGACUGAUUUGUUCAAUUCCUUGUGCAACUGCCAAAUCAAGUCUCUCAGGAGCUUCGGAAAGUCGCAUGUUUGAGAGACGGUUACCCAGGCACGAACUGGGAAAUUCUUUCUAACAUCUGGAUCUUCAUGGACCUUUUUGACUAGGGUAGUUUUCCCUAGUCCAGCCAUACCAACCACUGAAAUAACUUUGAGUUGGUGAUCGUGCCCCUCGAGGAGCUUAGAAAUCAGAUGUUGUUUGGGCUGGUCAAUGCCAACCAAUUUGGCUUCCUCCACUAGAAGUGCAUCAUCCCUGCUAUAGCGCCAUGAGUUGGUCAUGGUUGACGAUCCAGCGACACGGUCGUCGAUGCCAAAUUCAACUUGGUAUCUCUGACGUCCUUCUGAAAUAUUUUUGAUCCUGGACUUUAUGCUUUGAAUUUCACUGGCAACCUGAUGACGAGCUCGCAAGCUCUUAAUGGCUUUGAGAAUUCUCUGAAGAGAGCCACCGAAUCCAUGAUGUCGGUAGCCAGCAAAGCGAAGUACAAAUUCAUCGAGAACAUCUUCAAUGUCAUAAGCAGCUUCGCGCACUUGCUUGAUCCAUUCUUGGAGCCUGGGAUCAUCAUCUUCUUUUGCUUCAGCCACUUUGAGGAAAGCUUUCAUAUGCCCCAACUCAUCCUUGAUGAGUUGGACCUCCUGUCGAAGCCCUCCCAAUAGGCUUCCCUCCUCUCGGAGUAAGGUUGCGAGAUGAUUUGAAACAAAAGAGACAACAGUUGCUGCCAUUUUCAGUCUUCCUUUUUAACCUAAGAAUGUCGGGGAAGGCGGCUUCUGAUUUAUAGGAUAGGACAGUCCAGUUGUAAUAUCUUGAAAGGAAGAAGGAAGAGGAAGUUAUACAGAUUCAUAAGCUGAUGUUCUUCGGUGCAGUAUUUAUCAAAAAGAAAAACAGCGUUAAACAGAAAAAGAAAGAAUUAACCAAUUAGAAGAAACUAAAGCAAGAAACAUCUGAUUGUGAAAGACGAAGCUGCCUUACCUGCCACAAUACAAAAUCAUGGAAGCUAUUAAGAAGACUCAUUUCUGUUUGCACAUUCCUUCUUUCAACUGUGGGUCCUUUGGUCGGAUAAUAACAAAGGAGCACCGUUCAACUGUGGUCCUUCUUUACAAGUAGAAGGAAUAAGGUUAAAACGCGGUUGGACUGGACUGGACAUUAUUGAUUUCUUUGACGAAGAAAUAAAACUACUGCAAAAUGUUUUGCCCCUUCUGCUGACAUUAUGACAUAUAUAAACUCCUCCUUCUAUGGAACUAAUUUCUGCUUUUUUUUUCUUUUGACCCUUUGGACCAACUAGUAUUUGUAAUAAAAACGGAUGGAAUAUCAAGGAACAAACCAGUCCAACGCAGUGUAGACGAAAUUUACAGUAUAGACAUGAAACGCGUGUUUGAGUAGUUAAAGUGGAAAGAGCGCAAGAGAAUGAGAAGAAAACCCCACCCCAAAAGAAAAUUGACAGUUCCGAAUCAAAUGGAAGCCAGCUAUGAGUUUUCCAGGAACAUGUGAUGCAGAGGAAAGUGAAUUUCUUCGGAGUGGAACAGAAAAGGCAACUCAAGACUAAGGAUGGCAGCGGAUCAGCGGUAAGCCCAUAGGUUUUUGCUUCAAUGUUUAGUGGCUACUUAAUGCAAGUCUUGGCAAAAUUUGCUUCACAAAUUUCAUAUCCUUGUUACUGUUAGAGAUAAACUAGACUUCUUGAUCUUGUCCGUUGUUAUCACUGCCUCAUCACAUGCUAGUGCUAAGUCAGUCAUUGGCAUUAUCUAUUUCCUUGACUAAUGAAAACAAUCGCCUUAACAACCCAAAAAAAAAAGAGGCCUUCAUUCAAGAUGUUGAAAUGUACGUUGUUUUUUCUCCACCCUUUUUGAGGCCGUAUAUCACAAACAAAAUCCUUUUCUUUCUUUGUUUCUUUUUUUUUUUUUGGUCCCUUGGUAAGAUAAAAUUUGAUUCUUGAUCCAUAGAAUGGAGAAUAAUGGAGUUGAUUUUUGAAGAACAUAAACCUAACCUCCAAAGUUAAUAGUUAGUGGAAUUUGUGUUUCACAAGAAAGUUAAGACACUAAUUUGGUGGUUGACUAAACAUCGUGAUAUUGGCUUUUUUUUUUCCCUUCUACAGCUAGCACCAGACUAAAGGAUAAAUAAUUAAUAGAGAAAAAGAAAAAAAUGAUCAAGAUUUUAAGAUGAUUUUGCUGAUACAUUAUAACAUAUGUAUAGCUAUCUGAACAUAAAAGCCAAUCUCAUUAUUACUCACUAGAACUGGAGUUGUCUACCAACUAGUAUACUUUUCAUUCCUAUUCUUAUUGUAGAGUUGAAUUUUCUGCUUUUUUGUGAGAAAAUGAAAAAAAAAGAUAAUAAAGAGAACUCUUUUUAAAAUAAUAAAUUCUGACAUGAAUAUAAUGUCUUAUAGAUUUCUUUCUAGAGUAAUAGACUCUGAUGCAGAGGAAAGUGAAUUUCUUCGGAGUGGAACAGAAAAAGCAACUCAAGACUAAGGAUGGCAACUGAGUGGCCCGCAGGAGGCUACCCCGCCCCGGUACCCGUUUAAACAAUCUCGCCAUUAAGGUCAUAUACCGCAUCAGAUACCACACUUGCUGUCAGUGUCAAUGUACAAGGUUGCAGAAUUUCUGAAGGAAGAAGCCAUAAUAUCAAAGAUACUCCUGAAGGCAGGCAAUUUGUAACUAUGGAACAGAAGUUGACCAGAAUGUUGUAUUACAAACAGAUCAGCGUUCAUUGGGAGCCAAGACAAAGCAUGGAAAACUUUCAAUGUUUUGGUUCCACCAAAAACAUUACAAGCAAAAAGAUCCAUCAACCUUUAACAAAUAAGGAUUGAACUGUGUCCUCUUUAUACUUAAUCUUUAUACAAAAAGAUCCUCAUUAUGGCGGAAAGUACAUACUUUUCAUCACAUUCCACCAUAUGGUGAAACCUAGCAAUAUUGACCUUAUAUUCCUUUUCUGUGAUAACAAUGGUUCAUUCGUCAUUAAGCAAUCCAAUAAACACUUGCAAUCAUAACUUUGCCAAAGAAAGAAGAAGAAGAAGAAGGGGGCAAAACAUCAUUGACAAACCAAAUAAAAUCUGAAAACUUAAUGUUGUAAUUACCACGCCCUCUAUGUGUUGUUCCAUAGCUGAAUUUUCCAAAGAAACAGGCAACUACACACCCUAUAUGCCUUUUUUUUUUUUUUUCUUAAUAGCUGGCAAACAUGUAGUGUUUUCAUCCAUUCUACUUUUCAAAUCAGUCCUUGAAAACUUCUACUUGGUACUAACAUCAACCAAAAGCUUCUAAAGUCUCCCUUCCCUCAAAAUAUAGAAUCCAAAUCAUAGAAUCAAAUGUAAAAAAUGAAUGCAAUUGCUUCAAUUUUUUUUGACAAACAAACCAAGCAAAUGUAAAAGCAACUUAAAAAGCAUGAAGAGUUUAGGCUCAAAGCUUUCUCUGCCCACAUAUAUUUCAACAUGACUUGACAUAUGCUCUACAUGGUACACCAAUUCAUAUAAGCUCAUCCUUAUUGACAGACAUAGUUAUAUACUUACAUACACAAUACACGAACACAUACACUCCCCAUCCUCCAUCCCCCUCGCAACCCUGCCAGCGCAAUCACAGACACAAACACAGAGCAGAUCUAAACUACUAGACAGAGAGUCUAUAAAAGCCCUCACACCACCUCAUCCUUCCUUGAAACACUCUUAAGCAAAGAAAAGCCAAGUUCUUACAUUGUAAAACAAGAUAAAAGGACUCCAACAAAUCUACAGCUUCUCCACUCUGUCAAGUCCAGUUAAUAACAGGGAAAAUUUCAAGAACAGGGCAUGCUUGGAACCUUAUUUGACAAAGAAAGCACAAUGGUCGGCUAUCUAUAGAAGGCCUUCAUGCGUGAAAUGUAUUUUCGUGUACACAUACUAGUACAUUUUGUACAAACGUCAGUCCAAAUGCCUUUCACAUUUGGCCUAAAAACCUGAACCCUUCAUUGAUUAGGGCUUCAAGGGCUCCCUUUUCCAUGAUAAUUCUACAGCAAAUUGCAGGAAACAGGAGAAAAUGUGCAACUAUCAUCCAACAACGCAAUAACCAAUCUAUCACAACAAAUUAACUUCUUUCCUCUUCCUCCUCAUGUUUUCAAGCCAAUAGUACCCAAAUUUGGACCCAACCAAAAAAAAGGAAAAACAAGUGCAGUAAAGGUCUUUAUCAUAUUCUAAUCAAAGUGUCAAACAGAGCUAAAUUACAGAGAAACUUCAAAAAUGAAAGAGAAAAAAAGAUACAAGCUUUUUUGUAUUUUUAACAUAGAUAAAAACCCAUAUGAGACUGAAGAAACUCUACUCAGGAUUGGGAUUUAAUCCUCCUCACCAUUUCCUCAAAAGCUAAGCUGAAAAUUCUCCCUUUCUUUUUCGCCAAUUAUUUUUCCGUCAAAAGAC